AUUGAUGGAAAACCUGGAAGUAUGGUGAUUAUAACAACCCACCAACGAAAAGUUGCUGAGGUGGCACGCACAUUUCCUAUACAUAAACUAAAACUUUUAUCAAAUGAAGAUUGUUGGUCUUUACUCUCAAAGCAUGCAUUGGGAAGUGAUGAGUUUCACAAUAGUACAAACACAACCCUUGAAGAAAUAGGCAGAAAGAUUGCAAGAAAGUAUGGAGGAUUGCCAAUAGCUGCUAAAACAAUAGGAGGACUUCUACGUUCAAAGGUAGACAUAACAGAGUGGACUUCAAUUUUGAACAGCAACGUAUGGAACUUAUCAAAUGAUAAUAUUCUUCCUGCUUUGCAUUUGAGUUAUCAAUAUCUUCCCUCUCAUUUGAAAAGAUGUUUUGCAUAUUGUUCAAUUUUUCCAAAGGAUUUCCCACUUGAUAAGAAGACAUUGGUUUUGUUGUGGAUGGCAGAAGGCUUCCUCGAUUGUUCUCAAGAGGGAAAAAUGGCAGAGGAAGUAGGUGAUGACUGCUUUGCUGAAUUGUUGUCCAGAUCCUUAAUUCAGCAAUCAAAUCAUGUUGGUCGUGGAAAAAAGUUUUUCAUGCAUGACCUUGUCAACGAUUUAGCUACAAUCGUAUCUGGAAAAAGUUGUUACAGGCUUGAAUGUGGUAAUGUCUCUAAAAAUGUCCUCCAUUUGUCAUAUACCCAAGAAGUGUAUGACAUUUUCAUGAAGUUUAAAAGUUUCAACAAUUUUAAAUGCUUGUGAAGCUUCAUGCCCAUUUGCUUAUGGAGAGAACAAAAUUACUUAUCCACCAAGGUAGUUGAUGAUUUGCUACCAACACUCAAAAGGUUGCGUGUGUUAUCGCUGUCAAAGUAUACAAAUAUCACCAAGCUACCUGAUUAAAUUGGCAAUUUGGUGUAGUUGCGGUAUCUAGAUCUCUCUGAAGGUGAGAAAAACACAAGAAGGGGGGGGGGGGGGGGGGGGGGGGGGUUGAAUUGUGUUUUCUUUUUCUCUUCUAAAAUCUUCUUCUGAAAUCACUUCAGAAGCUGUUUAAGAAAGCUUCUGAUGAGAAGUUCAGAAUUGGAUACGCAGCGGAAUAAAAACAGAGUAGAGAAAGAAGAAAGAGAGACACAAGCAAUUAUCCUGGUUCCUUCCACAAACCGGAAGUAGUCCAGUCCCCCUUGAACUUCCAAGGAGAUUUCCACUAAGAAAUAAUCACACAGAUUACAACUGCUCAAUACUACACCUAGUAUGAGACUUCAUAAAUGCUCAAGCACGCAGGCAAGAGACUUCCUUUGCUCAAGCACUAAAGCAAGAGACUUCUAUUCAAACAGAAUUACAAAGAAAAUUGUUUGAGUUUGAACACUUGAUAUACAAUCAGUGGUGUUCACAAUACAAUGCAAUUGAAAGACUCUCUAGACUUAAGAAUUUCUAAGAUAUAUCAAAUUAACACAGAAAUUCAAAGUGCUUUUGAGUGAAACAAAUUUGGCAGAGUUUGGGCGCUUUUAACUUGUUGUAUUGUCUCUUCUGAUCUUCAAGUCUUCACUCCUUUAUACAGAGAUGUGUAGAGAGACGUUGAGAUCUUUAAGCACGUCAAAAGAGUCAUUGAGAAACCUUGAUCAAAUACCAAUGAUCUUUUGCCUGAUUUGGAUGUUGUCCUAUGAAGGAUCACGUUCAAAUCCAUUCCUAUCUUGAAGGAACAUUUCUGCAGGCAGAGCUGUUUUCUUGUCUUGUAGCGUAGACACAAGCAGAGUCGUGGAGGUAGUGGUUGUACACUUCGUACUUUGUCAACUCUCAAUGAAGGACAAGCACCCAAUGCUUUUCAAACGAACGUUGGCACUUUCCUUUAGUCUUUCGCUUUCCUAGACGAGGUUGAAUCCAAUAACCAGCUAUUUGAAACUUUAGGUUGCAUCUUCUGAUGAGCUGUAGCUUCUGGUGAUACACAGCUUCUGAUGAACUUUGCUUCUGAUGACGUCAUCACUUCAGAGGCACUUUGUCUUCAGGAGCACUCCAUAACUUCACACGCAGUUUUCUUCAGAUGUUUUAGGCUUCUCUUCUUGUUGAUAUCUUUGCUCUCUUUUGUUCUUCCAAGACCUAUUAAAUUGAUCAACUUUGUCUAUGGUCCUGUACACUUGAACAAAUAUUAGCAAUAACCAAUUGAAAAUUUUUAAUACCUUGUUAUCAUCAAAACUCAUUAAGAUUUAUUGUAAAACACAUUUUGUUCCAACACUCACUUUCACUGAAAUCAAAAGCUUGCCUGAUACAUCAUGUAACCUUUAUAAUUUGCAGACUUUGAUUUUAUCAAGCUGUAGGAAUCUCACUGAAUUACCAGUACAUAUGGGAAAUUUAAUCAAUUUAUGUCACCUUGAUAUAAGUUCAAAAAAUAUGCAGGAGUUUUCCUUGGAAAUUGGUGGGCUAGAAAACCUCCAAACUUUGACAGUUUUUGUAGUGGGGAAAGCAUCAAGUAGGGUUAAGUAUCAAAGAACUUGAGAAAUUCCCACACUUACAGGGAAAACUUACUAUCAAGAAACUGCAUAAUGUCGUUGAUGCCAUGGAUGCAAAAGAUGCCAACCUGGAAGACAGAGCAAAUUGAGGAGUUAGGUCUGUUGUGGGGAAAAGAAAGUGAAGACUCGCGAAAAGUGAAAGUUGUUCUAGAUAUGUUGCAACCACCAAUAACUCUGAAGAGCCUUCAUAUUGGCUUGUAUGGCGGGACAAGUUUUCCAAAUUGGGUCGGAAACUCUUUGUUUUAUAACAUGGUGUCUCUUCGCAUCGAUAAUUGUGAAUAUUGCAUGACACUUCCACCGCUAGGGCAGCUACCUUCUCUAAAGGACCUAAAAAUAUAUGAUAUGAAGAUAUUGGAGAGAAUUGGCUCAGAGUUCUAUUGUGUCCAAGAAGGAGAAGGUUCAAAUUCUUCCUUCCAACCAUUUCCGUCCCUUGAGCGUAUAAGAUUUCAAAUCAUGCCAAAUUGGAAUGAAUGGCUCCCUUUUGAAGGAAACAGCUUUGCUUUUCCAUGUCUUAAAACUCUUGAGUUAUAUAAUUGUCCAGAAUUUAGGGGACAUUUUCCUAGCCACCUAUCUUCCAUAGAAGAAAUUCAAAUAGAAGGUUGUGCUCGUCUAUUGGAAACACCACAUACUUUGCAUUGGCUAUCAUCAAUAAUAAAAAAAAAAUCAAAGAAGAUUUAGAUUCUGAAGGGUAUUCUGAAAGAACUCAAUCGUCGUUGCUUGUGAGCGACUCUCAAAGUCUGCUGCAAACUGUAGAUACUGAAAAUUGUAAUAUGUUCUUAUUUGUUCCUAAAAUGAUUAUGAGAAGCACUUGUCUUCUACACUCGGAGCUCUAUGGUCUUCCCCUCACUACAUUUCCGAAGAAUGGUCUACCCACUUCAUUGCAGUCACUUUGUAUUGAUAAUUGUGAGAAGUUAGCAUUCAUGCCUCCUGAAACGUGGAGCAGAUACACAUCGCUUGAGAGUCUUAUUUUAUGGAGUAGCUGUGAUGCACUUACAUCCUUCCAACUUGAUGGUUUCCCUGCACUCCGAAUACUUUACAUUUGUUUUUGUAGGAGUAUGGAUUCGGUUUUUAUUUCAGAAAGUCCUCCACGUCGGUCAUCAAGCCUCCGAUCACUUAAAAUCAAAUCCCAUGAUUCAAUUGGAUUGCUUAAAGUCAAGCUUCGGAUGGACACGCUCACUGCUCUUGAACAAUUGACUCUAGAUUGUCCCGAGUUGUUAUUUUGUGAAGGAAUUUGUCUACCUCCCAAAUUACAAUCAAUUGUGAUAUCUUUCCAAAGAGCAACGCCGCCUGUAACAGAAUGGGGUCUCCAAGGCCUGACCGCUCUUUCAAGAUUGAGAAUUGGAAGCGAUGAUGGUAUAUUUAACGUUUUCGUGACAGAGUAUCUUUCACAGUUGAGAAUACAAAUGGGUGAUAAUAUAGUUAACACCUUGAUGAAUCGGUAUAUCUCAAGAUUGACAGUUGGAACGGUUGAUGAUAUAGUUAACACCGUGCUGAACGAGUCAUUGCUUCCCAUCUCCCUUGUGUCUCUAUCUAUUGGUCAUCUCUCUGAAAUAAAGUCAUUUGAAGGAAAUGGACUUCGACACCUCUCCUCUCUCAAAAAUCUUCACUUUCUUAAUUGCUUGGAGCUUGAGUCAUUGCCAGAAAAUUGCCUCCCUUCCUCGCUGAAGUCACUUCAAUUUUCGAGUUGUGUAAGACUUGAGUCAUUACCAGAAGACAGCCUCCCUUCCUCUCUUAAACUACUCACUAUCGAGUUUUGCCCAUUGUUAGAAGAAAGGUAUAAAAGGAAGGAAAAUUGGUCCAAAAUUUCUCACAUCCCUGUCAUAAUAAUAAACAAGCAAGUUACAAUAUGAAGACAAGUUGUGUUCCCGUUUCAGGUAUGAUUUUCUUUUACCUCACUAUUCCAAAUUAAUUUAUAGUAUUCUGUAUGCAUUCAUUUGUGUUCACAAUCUAAAGACAUAUCUUAAGAUUUUUCAUAUCAUUUUCAACACAAAGCAAAUAAUCAAUCUCUGCUACACAUGUUUUUUUUCUUUAGACAUAUUGUUAGUGGUUAAUUUUCUAAGGGAAAGAUUUCUAUAUAAUACUUUUUCGGUGUCCAAACUCAUAACAUGAACUACUCCAUCCAGGACCUCUUCCUAUGUUUAUUGAUGUAAAUUAAAAAUAAGAGGUCCACUGAUUUCUUUGUUUAUGGGACAUGAAGCAUCAAUAUAUAAAUGGAACAAAAUACAAAGUUGAUUGAUUAAUAUGACUAAGAAUCAACUUAUUGAUUAUAGGCUCUAAAUAUUGCCAGAUUGUUUGAGAAUCAAGCUUUGGAUCUAAUCAAAGAAAAAAAUGUGUAUUUGGUCUUUGCAGGAGAGGCCUAAUAAGUGGAUAAAAAUCCGUUCAAUUGAUGAAUUGAAGACAAAAGUGAGGCAUGUUGUCAUCAUGAUUCUUCUUGUAAACUUGUUUUAGAGGAUUCAAAUGCAUGGUUGCUGUUGAUUGCCACAAGAUUGGAUUUAAUUAACCAAUUUUCAGUUUGUAUUUUCUUAUCAUUUGUAUGCAUCUUUGUAUAUUCUGUGUAAACUACUUGAGCCUGUACAGAUUGUAAUUUUCUUUAAUUCGUAGAUGUAAAUGAAUGUUCAUAUGAUUCAGAAAUCUUCUGUUUCAUUGCUUUGUUAGUAUGUGCAGCUUGAAGCAUAAUAGAUAAAUGGAACAAGUUGAAGUUGAUAAAUAAGAAUCCAUGUUAUUCUUGGUUCUAAAUAUUGGAAACUUUUUUUUUUUUAAGUUAAACUAACCCACCAAAAUUGACAUCCGGGAGAAUCAAAUCUGAGACAACUCUAAAGUCUCAAGCGAACACUACCAAACGAUCCCAAGUAGAUCCUAAAUAUUGGAAACUUGUUUGUGUAACAUAAUAAUGAUUGGUGUUCCUGAUGCAUAUCGCAUAGACAUACUAUACUUUUUAGCUUCUUUUUUAUCCUAAAAGAGAAAAAUACUAUUGGAAUGAUAGGCCUUGCCUUUCUAUUGAUUUUCCAAUGAUACAUAUACAAUGUCAGAUUCUGUGUCUAUUUGCUAUACAAUCAUGACUAUUUAAUGACAAUUAUAUUCUAAUAAUAACAAUAAUAUUCUAAUAAUGACAAUGAUAUUCUAAUAAUUCUAAUACACCCCCGUAGUCGAAACGGGAGGUUGACGAAUGUUGAGACUAUCACGAAAAUCAUCAAAGAGUUGCAACGGAAGUCCUUUGGUGAAGAUGUCAGCGAUUUGGUAACGUGAAGGGACAUGUAAGACUCAUACUUGGCCACGGGCGACUUUCUCACGCACAAAAUGUAUAUCCAUCUCGAUGUGUUUGGUGCGUUGAUGUUGGACUGGGUUGCCGGAUAAAUAGACAGCACUCACAUUGUCACAAUAAACCAAAGUGGCUGUUGUGACUGGGCAAUGUAGUUCCAACAGUAAGUUUCUAAUCCAACAAGAUUCAGAUACUACAUUGGCGACUCCGCGGUACUCGGCUUCGGCACUGGACCGAGAUAGGGUGUGUUGACAUUUGGCAGACCAUGAGAUUAAAUUGUCACCAAGAUAAACAUUAACCAGAGGUGGAUCGCCUGGUAUCCGGGCAACCAGCCCAAUCUGCAUCAGUGUAAGAAACCAAUUUGCUGACAGAGGAGGGAUGUAAGUGAAGGCCGAAAUCAAUAGUGCCAUGAAUAUACCGAAUGAUACACUUCAGUGCUGACAUAUGUUGCGUUUUAGGGUCAUGCAUGAAUAGGCAUACCUGUUGUACUGCAUAAGAGAUAUCAGGUCUUGUGAAAGUUAAAUAUUGUAGUGUUCCUGCAAGACUCCGAUAUUCAGUUGGGUCAUGAUAUGGAUUCCCAGAAGAGCCACUGAGUUUUGCCUUGGUGUCGACUGGAGUGGGUGAUGGUUUGCAAGAGGACAUGCCUGCUCGUUUUAUAAUCUCCUCUGCAUAUUUUCUUUGAGACAAGAAAAGACCACUUGUGUGUUUAGUGACAGAUAUUCCUAGAAAAUAACUUAGAGGACCCAAAUCCUUCAUGGCGAAUUCAGAACUAAGUUUAGACAUAAUAGAGUCACGAAGAGCAUCAGAUGAAGCAGUGAGAAUUAUGUCAUCGACAUAUAGAAGGAUAUAAGCAGUAUUAAGGCCACGAUCGAUGAAAAACGAAUAAAGAGUGAUCAGAGAUGCUGUGAGAGAAACCCAAUGUGGCAACAUAGUUGGUGAAUCUUUGGUACCAGGCACGCGGUGAUUGUUUUAAACCAUAGAGAGAUUUCUUGAGGAGACAAACAUGCUCAGGAUAUUGUGGAUCACGGAAUCCAGGAGGCUGGUGCAUAUACACAGUUUCGUCAAGAUUUCCAUGCAAAAAAACAUUUUUGACAUCUAGUUGAUGGAGACACCAUGAUUUGGAUAUUGCAAUGCUAAGUACCAUGUGAAUAGUGGCUGGUUUGACGACAUGGCUGAAGGUUUCACCACAAUCGGCACCUGAUUGUUGAUUAGCACCAUUACCUACAAAACGAGCUUUGUAUCGCUCAAAAGAACCAUCAGAUUUCUUCUUGUGCCUGAAAAUCCACAAACUUCGAAUAACAUUAGCAUUAGAGGGACGAGGAACUAAUUCCCACGUCUUAUUUUCAAUAAGAGCAUAAUAUUCGUCUUUCAUGGCCAUUUUCCAAUUAGGAUCUCGUAACGCAUCAAUGGGAUUUGUAGGUAAAGGAGAGAUAAUUUGGUUGGUUGAUGAGUGUAGGUUGAAAAGCGUACGAGGUUUGACAAUACCGUGUUGUGAACGGGUUCUCAUUUGAGGUGAAUGAGGUGCUGAAGGGGAAAUGGAUGUUGGAAUCGGUGGAGAAGAGGUGGUAGGUGUAGUUUGUGGAGAUGAGGUCGUUGUCUGGGAGGCAGAAGAUGUUUGAACUGUGGGUGUAGGUUGUUGGGCCGAGGAGGUUGGUGAGAGGGGAACACUUGUGUGGUUUGUGGUUUGAGGGGUAGGAGUUUGUUGGGCUGCUGGUGAUGGUGAUUGGGUGGCGGUUAUGUUGGGAGAGGGAGUUGCUGGAUAUGUGGUGUACAAGUGUGAGGGAAGUGGGGGGAUUAUGCCAUCAUCUAAAAAAUUAUAGUCAGCCGUUGUAGGAGCAUUCAUGGUGGAAAAGGGAAACGUAUUUUCCUCAAAAAUGACAUGUCGAGAAAUAAUGAUUAUACGACUUGACAAUUCAUAACACUUAUAACCUCUAUGGUUAGACGGAUAUCCUAGAAAGACACAUGGUGUAGACCGAGGUUGGAGUUUAUUCCUAGUGGUGGACGGAAUUAAUGGAUAGCAAAGACAUCCAAAAACUCGGAGGUGUGAAUAAGACGGGUAUUUUUGGUAGAGAAUUUUGGUGGGUGAUUGGAGAGUGAGUUUCUUAUUUGGAAGUAUGUUGUGUAGGUAAGUGGCCAUUUGAAGAGCAUGGUGCCAGAAAACUGGUGGAAUAGAAGCAUGGGCAAGGAGAGUUCGAAUUAUAUUAUUGAUUGUACGAAUUUUUCUUUCGGCUUUUCCAUUUUGAGGGGAGGUAUGAGGACAAGAGAAUCGAAAAGACAUUCCAUUUUGUUCACAAAACUUAUGAAAAAGAGCAUUAUCGUAUUCCUUGCCAUUGUCACAUUGAAAACAUUUUAUUUCACGUUCAAAUUGUGUUUUAAUGUGAGCACGGAAUUGUAAAAAAAUGGAAUGUACUUGUGAUUUGUUUGAGAUUGGAAAAGUCCACAAAAAAUUAGUAAAAUCAUCAAGAAAUAACACAUAGUAACGAUGCCCUCCGGAGCUUAAUACCGGAGAAGUCCAAAGAUCGCUAUGAACAAUGUCAAAAGGCAUACAAGUAAAUGACAAUGAAUUGUAAAAAGGUAAUUUUAUUUGUUUCCCAAGUGGACAAGAGUGACAAAAGAAAUAAUUUUGAAACUUAUUACAUAGCAAAAGUUUGUUUCGAUGAAGAGAAUUUAAGAUAGGAGCUCCUGGAUGUCCUAAACGACUAUGCCAUAACUCAUUAGAUGAAGCAGCAAAGGCGGAUGGUGGUAGUGUUGUGUUUGGUCUUGUGGGAAUAGGGUAAAGGUCGCCAGAACUGUUACAUCUCAUUAAAAGCGUUUCUGUCUGGAAAUCCUUCACAGAAAAACCAAGAUAAUCAAAUUCAACAGAAACGUCAUUAUCGAUUGUAAAUUUUCUGACAAAAACAAGGUUUUUGAUAAUUUUCGGUGCAUGCAAAACAUUGUUUAAGCUUAGGGAAUUGGGUAAAGAUGCAUUACCACAACCAAUUACAGGAAUAUGAUGACCACUUCCAACAGUAAUAUUAUUACUUGUAUUAAAAUAAGAUGUGAGAUUACCUCCAUUGCCCGUCAUAUGAGAAGUCGCCUCGCUGUCCAUAUACCAUUGAUCAUCAGGAGGAGAGAUGGAGAAAGUAUGCAUAGCAGCUUGGAUGUCAGUCGGAGCAUAAUAAGAUGAGCCUUGCUGACUGUUCAUAUGAGGUGGAGCAGUUGCCAUGUGAGUUUGCUGAGGUUUAGGACCUAGUAUGCCUGUUUGUUGAUGGGGAGCACCAGUUGUCGGAUAUGGACACGGUGGAUUGGCCCAUGGCUGCCAUGGAUAUGCCCACUGCUGCUGUCUGGGAUAUGUGGGAGUGGUCCACUGAGGCUGCAGAGGCUGGGAAUGACCUCCACCACGACCAUUGUUUCUACCCCUGCCACGGCCACCACGACCAGCACCACUGUUGUUGUUGCGGUGGUUGCGCUGCUGAGAAGGAGUUGCUGAGUCCGCGUUAUCAUCAAGAGAUGAUACGAAAGCAGAGUUGCUGAUGGAAUUUGCUGCUUUCUUUGCUUUAGCCGUUUCUUCCAGGAUAAUCAUAGAACGAGCUUUGUAAAAAGGUGGAAGAGAGUCUCCAUGACGGAUUUGUGAUCCCACCGUAGCAUACGCAUCUGUCAGGCCAGAGAUAAGUUGAAGAACAAGCCUUUCGUUAGACACUGGAGCACCAACAUUAGAGAGUUGAUCAGACAGGGAUUUGAGAUGUUGACAAUAGGUGGAUGCAUAUCAGGAAAUUGUUCCAUAUGGACAUUAGAAAAUUCUUGCUCUAGGUAGAGAGCCCGAGAAUUUUUAUUGUCAACAUCUCAAAGGUGCCGUAUAUAUGCGGAACACAUAACAAGGUAGGAACACCAAAAAUCCAUAUAUAUGAGGAGCCUCUACCCAAACACCCCAAAAACCAAGAGGCCUAUAACAGCACGACCAAAACCUUUCAACCGGCAAGUUCACAACCGAAAAACCAGAACCCCAAACAGGCACAGAACGGAAUCAACAAAAGCUCCCAAUGGACAGACAGCGUGCUAGCAGAAACAAACCAGAAGAAGGGUAGAAACCUGCACAGCCGCAACCCACAACACUACUGCAAACAGGCGCAAAACAGCCAUACUGCAGUAGCUGAAAGCAGCAACAGCAGCACCAAAAAAUCUUCCAGUCACGCCAUCUUCGCACACCACAGCCCAAAAACAGCAUCUCAAAAAUUACCUCAAGGCAAGCCUUCGGAUUCCACUUCCAUUCGUAAAGCAUACAAACCGAAUUUUGAUCCGAGUCAACAACCAACACCAAGAUAAAACUUUAAUCUCUUCUAUAACUUCCCCUACCUCCCAACUCAAGUUAUUGAAAAAAAAAUUAUUUCUAACUCUCCACAUAAACCAAAUAGUAGUAUGCCAAACUCGCCAAAGACCCUUCCGGAUUUUCUUAUUUCGUUCCGUACCACUCCAACACUCCCAAUGAAUGAAAAAAUUAGGCGAAGUUAAAAAAGAACAGCCGAACCACCUCAUCACCUUGGAAACCAAAAAGAAAAGGUACCAUUAUUGUUCAAAGCACCUUCAUUAUAUCUUGAUUUCAAUACAAUAUUUUGGGCAAAUACCUCCAGGGGUAAUUAAGUUUAACGUUUAUGCUGGAUUAAUCUUUUAAAUUUUUUAAGUUUCAAAUUGGUUCUUUAAGUCGUAUAAGGUUCUCAACGUUAUCUUUUUCCAUCCAAAUCUGUUAAACGACCCCAGAGAUAUUUGGCCCAAUUUUUUUAAAAACUCGGUAUCCAGCCUAAGACCGACUAAUUUGAGGGGUCCAAUCCCACUGUCCACUUGCGUAGGUCCCAUUUAAAGCUAGAGCAAAGCUUUGUAUGGACUAGCCCGGUGAAAUUGGGACCAAGGAGAAUUGAAUCUGAGACUUUGAGAGAAGCACACUCCACUCCAAGGUCUCAAGCCAAUACCACUAGAUCAACCCAAGUGGGAUAAUUUCAAUUUUUUUUAGAUUGAGAAAAGAGAAAUUACUAUUAAUAACUGUAGUACUGAUUGUCAUUUUACAACUGUGUCAUUUGAGAUUUGCUUUUACCACUGAUUGAUACAUUAUGGACAUAUCCUAUAUUUUGCUUUAUGUUCCUAUUCAUAAAUCUUAAUCAGAAAAACAUUUUUUCUAAACAACAUAAAACUUUAGACUAUCUACAAUAGUAUUUUGUCGCAAUUUUGACAAUGCAAUGCCAUGAAUCUGUCUGAUUCUCUCUCUUGAUAGUUUCAACAGCUUUCCUAUCUCCUCAAAAGACAAAGGGGUCUCUCCAUUGAGUCCAAAGUAUAAUCUUACAAUCUCUUCUUCUCUUUUGUCAAGUGUGUUAAGAAGCUUCACAACCCCUUGCUUCAUUAGCUGCCUCUCAACCAUCUUCUCUGGAAUCAUUUCGACUGGUCCUGGUAUAAUCUCCUGCAUUAUAUCACAGUAAACAUUAUGACUAAUAGCUCAGAGUUUGUAGUUUAUACUUAAUCGCCUAAAAUACGAAUGAAAUUGUCGAACCUUCAGUAUUAAGUUGCUCUGAUCGGUUAUAGAUCUGUCCAAUGAAAUUGGUUGUCUGCUCCUUUCAGAAACAAGUUUUACAGUUGAAACAUUCACAUUGAGAACCUCAGCAAUUUCAUUAUAUGUCGGCUUCCGCCUUAGUCUUCGUCUUAAGACAUUGUUAGCCUCUGCGAUUUUUGCAACCAUUCCAUACUUUUCUCCCUAUAAAUAACAAAUUAACCAAACAUUCAUAAUAAACGGUCUACUUCUUAAAUCUUCUAGUAGUCUACUGUAGAAGCAUUGCAUAGUAAAUCAAAAGAGACUAUGAAAAUUGUGAUAAGUAAGAACCUGUUUACUUUCUAACAAAAUUUUCAAUUUCUAUUUACAGUGUAGGUGGUCCAGCAUAAACCUUAUUAAUUUUUCCAAUUUUAACCCUUUGAUAUGUUUUAAGAAAGGGGACCGUUGGAUUGUGAAGGUCCAUUGUAUCUUACAGUGAACCAACAGAAACUAUUUUUUCUUCCCUUUCUUCAUCUUCUUCCCUUGUGUACUUCAUCAUCUUCAUAAUAUUCAUGAAAAAAACCCAAAAAAAUAAAAUAUUUAUCAAACAAAACACUUUUAACCCUUCCCUUUCCAGUUUCCCUCUCUCUUUCUCUCAGAACCCUUUAUUCUCUCUCUCAAACCCAUUCCUUCAUUCUAACUCAGCUCAAUUGAACCAAUCUCAAUCCCUCUCUCUCAAUCGAACCCACGCACACCAAAUUCAAUAACAACUCUAAACCCAAUCGCAGCUCAACAUCAAUUUUCAAUUCAAUAACUCAAAAAUUGAUAUUGAAGAUGAGUUCAAACAGAAAAUACAUCUUCAAGAUGAUGAAUGGGGUUUUGGUGCACUUUUUGGGUCAGGUUUGAUGUGCUUUGACGGGUGUUGGUUUUUGGUGCAUCUUCAAGCCGAGUUUUUUGGUUGAGUCUCUCGGCUUUCAGGGUCAGGGUGCUUCCUGUUGGAUGCCUUUUGUUUUGUUGACAGGUUUGGCUGUUUUAAUGGGUGGAGUGACUUUUCACAACAAAGUAUAAUGUAAUAGUCUUGCUUAGGUAAAUGUACGAUGAGUUAGGGUUAGCCUAUGCGCCGGUCAUGGCCUAAAAUUGGGUCGUGACAAUAUGUUUCCUUCUCACACUUUAUACACAUGCAAUACUUAGCAUGGCAUUGCAUUGUAUCUCACUACUUCCUUUCUACUUCAAGCGUUGUGCAUGCAUGGCAUUGCUUUCUUUCAUCGGUGAGGCAGAAAACAAAUACCUUAAGAUUUAUUAUAUGAUUAAAUUUUUUAAAGAAAAUAAAAAUGAGAGUUAUUCUCAAGGUUUCUCCUAUCUCUUCCCCGGAUAUGUACUCUCCAAUUCACCAACAUCUGCAAAGAGAUGGUUUCUGACAAGGUGCAAGCAAUGAAUUAGGUUAGAGUUUGUGAAAACACUUGAAAUCAUAGUUUUGAUUUUUUUUUUUUUUAUAGAAUACUAGAAUCAAAUUUAGGCAUUGUUGAGCAUAGUAUUAGCUAAUUUAUAGUAUGUUAAGAUUGCUUUAUUUGAGUUUAUCUAUUCACAUAAGCACUUAUCAGACUCUUUAGGAGAGCUUAUGGAAACAAUUUAUGACAUGUUUACAAUUUUUUUUUAGGUUAUUUUCACAACCUCUCUAAAUAGCUUAUGAAAACAACUUAUAGUUUAUAUAAAAUUAAUUUGACUUUAUUUUUUUAAAAGUAUAUGAAUUUAUUUAUUAUUUUGUUAUAGAAAUAGCUUACAUAAGCACGUAUACAAUAACCGCUUUUGUUAUAAGCACUUCAUUAAAUUAUUUAUCCAUCAAUUUCAAAUCAUUUGACCAGCCAGCUUCUAGGAGUUUUACCUGCUGAAAAGUUUGCUUGUUGUUGCCCAUUUUUAAUUUAUUUUAGCAAAAAUAUGAAAUAUCACUUUAGUUUGCUAUAAUGUGGAAACAAAUAUUUAUUUGAAAACAGAACAUUUGGGAAAAUUGAUUGAGCAGGUAUAGUCACAAUUGUCUCACUAGAUGUGAACAAAUGCAUUGCAAUUUCCUAUUCUCAAUACACUUUUUUUAAUUGAUUUAUUCACUCAUUGGGAAACAAUACACCAGCAUAUAAAAACAAAAGGUUUAAUACAAAGACUUGAGUUCUGGUAGUUGGUGAAUAAUCGUAUGAGAUAUUUACUCCUUUCCAUGUUCUUUUAUUUGUUUACCUGGGUCCAUUAAACAAUGGUAAGCCUUGUUUUCCAGCUUUCUAACUUUGUUUCUUACCUAACAAACAAGUCUUCUUGAGUCUACGUUUACUAUCUGCACUGCCAACCAUCCAAAAACAGUACUAUUAUCCAUUCAUUUUCAUGCAAGUCUUUCCUCCUUAAUUGCAAUAACUACUAUUCUUGAAUGUUCAUAGCUCUUAACUUUCUUUGCAACUUACUUGCAAUAUCAUUUACAACUUUUUUCCUUUGCUGCUUUACUUUACCAAACUUUGGUCGCAGGUGCAUGUCUCUCUGCUACUACUCAAACCAUAGCAGACAAGCUAAGCUCAUCAGAGUUUCGUGGUUUCAUCAGAAACACCAGGUUCAAUUACUCACUGCUGGCCGAAUUGAAAACAACAUUGUUUGCUCUUCAAUCUGUGCUGGUUGAUGCAGAGCAGAAACAGUUCAUUGACCUUCCUGUCAAGCAAUGGCUUGAUGACUUGAAAGAUGCAAUCUUUGAUGCUGAAGAUUUGCUUGACUUAAAAGUGAUUAUUUGAUGAUUUUCUAAAAUAAUGUUUUGGGUCAAGUUUUAUAUGGUUUUGAGUCUCUUUUGAUGUAUAUAAAUGUUUAGAAAAACUUUGGGAUCAAAUUUGGGCAUAGGGAAGUUAAAAUUGGAAUUUUGGGGUGAAAAAUGGGUUUUUCCCGAGUUGUUAUCUUACAGCAUGUCCUGUUUCAUGUUCUUGCGUCUUUUUCACAUGUUUCCGUUUUGAAUUAGCCUUUGGUGUAAACAUGAAAGUUGUAGAUAAUUGUGUUAUCUUUCCAGUGGCGUCGGUUUGACUUGAAAAUGAUUUUUGGUUUAGGAGUUAUCAUGAAAAUACUUCAAGGAGGUCUUAGUGAAAUUUUAUGAAAAUUCAGCAUAACCGUUUCUAAGUUAAUCCAAAACUUAGGGAAUAAUUCCAAACCUCAAAACUAGAAGUACUAGGAGUUUAAUUAAGGGGUUUAACAGUAUUUAACAUGUGUUGUGAUGGAUCUAACUUGGUUGGACGUGAAUAUCUUUGUUGAAUAAUUUGAGAUACAGUAGAAACUCUAUAAAUUAAUAAUGUCGGGACCGGAGAAAUUUAUUAGUUUAGAGAGUUAUUAAUUUAUCGAUAAAUUAAUAAUUUAAAGAGUUUUUAAGUAAUUAUACUGUACAUACCAAACAAAAAGGCAAAUUAGUCUAUGUCUCUUAGAAUAUUGUAUGAUAUAGAAAUAAUGAUGUUCAUUAUUGAUGAUUUAUUAUAUGAAUGUAUAUGUUGAUGAAUAUGAUUUGAUGUCGAUGGUAAUGUAAUAUAUUUGUAUAUGCAUUAUGUGAAUUAUAUAAGAUGUUUAAGUUGUUGUUGAUUAUCAUUUGAUGUUGUUAUAUCUUGAGAUGUUUAUGAUGUUGUCUAAGUUGUAAGUUGUCGUUCCAAAGUACUGGAGUCUUAAGUUGUUGAUGUUGUCUAAGUUGUAAGUUGUUGUUCCAAAGUAUUGGAGUCUUAAGUUGUCGAUGUUGUCCAAAGUUGUAAGUUGUUGAAUUCAUGCAUUAUCAUUUCAUUGUUGGGGGCUUGAUGCCCUGGAGCUUUGUACUCAACACGUUGGAGCUUUAGCUCAAUUAGCGAUGGGGGCUUGAUGCCCUGGAAGUAUAUUAAUAUUCAAAUAGCGAUGGGGGCUUGAUGCCCUGGAGCUUUGUACUCAACACGUUGGAGCUUUAGCUCAAUUAGCGAUGGGGGCUUGAUGCCCUGGAAGUAUAUUAGUACUCAAAUAGCAAUGGGGGCUUGAUGCCCUGGAGCUUUGUACUCAACACGUUGGAGCUUUAGCUCAAUUAGCGAUGGGGGCUUGAUGCCCUGGAAGUAUAUUAAUACUCAAAUAGCGAUGGGGGCUUGAUGCCUUGGAUUGGUACCACAUGCAUGAUUAAGAAGUCGAAGUUGCAUUGUCGAGUCAAAGUCGUUGUUGAUGAGUUGUCAUCCAUGAGUUGUUAAGUUGUUGAUGAGUUGUCAUCCACGAUUCGUUAAAUUGUUGAGUUGUCUUCUACCCAUGUGUUGUUAAUGAAGUGCUUAUGAAGAUUAUAUGAUGUUAUGAAGCUAUAUGAUGUUGAUUAUGAUGUUGUUAUGUUGUUAUGAUGUUGUUUAGGAUAUUGAUUAUAUGAUGUUAUUAUGAUGCUAUAUGAUAUUGAUUAUGAUGUUGUUAUGUUGUUAUGAUGCUAUAUGUUGUUGAUUAUGAUGUUGUUAUGAUGUUGUUUAUGAUAUUCAUUAUGAUAUUGUUAAGCGAUGAUUUUUAUGAUGUGAUGUUAUGUUGUUAUAAGAUGAUCUUUAUGAUGUGUUGUUUAUGUUGUUAUAAGAUGAUGUGUUGUUUAUGUCGUUAUGAGAUGAUCUUUAUGUUGUUUAUGUUGUUAUAUGAUGAAUGUAUAUGAUAUGAUGAAUAUGAUAUUAAUGAUGACUAGAAGUUGAUUGAGCUAUUAAUGAAGUACUAUAUGAAGGAUAAAUAGUUAUUUUAUUCCGUUUAUGUUGAAAUACUCUGAUUUAUUCCGUUUAUGAUUUUAAGAAAAGAAAUGUUACAUUAAUACUAAGAAAUUUUUUGUCUUCAGAAAUGUCACACAUCAUGAGAACAUUCUCCCUUAUCAACCUAUAAAAUCUCCAUCUACCUGGCACUAUUAUCCCACUUCAUCACCUUCUGACUCUAUCACCCAUCACUCAGAUGCUUCUCAUUUUUCCAUCAUUCCUCCAACACAUAUUUCCUCACCUGAUACUUCUUCUACUUCAACUACUUCUCCCACACCAUCACCUCAACUUUAUAAACCUGUUAGAACAAAACAUGCCCCAACCUAUUUGUCAGACUUUGUAUGUAAUACUUCUUCUGCUCAUUCAUCAACAACAAUCACAUAAGGUACUCCUUACCCUAUUGCAUCAUUUCAUUCACUUUCACACUUAUCACAUUCACACAAGGCAUUUUCUCUUUCUAUUACACAAAGUACUGAGCCCAAAACCUAUAAGAAAGCAUGUCAGUCUGAAUGUUAGGUAAAGGCUAUGGAUUCUGAAUUAGAUGUUUUGGCUAAGAAUAGUACCUGAACAAUUGUGCAAACUCCUCCUAAUGUCAAGCCUAUAGGGGGUUUUUAAGAUCAAAUAUAAGGCUGAUGGGAGCAUUGAAAUAUACAAAGUCAGAUUGGUUGCAAAGGGAUAUAAUCAAGUUGAAGGUCUUGAUUUUUUUUUUUUUGGCAGUUUUUCUCCUGUUGCAAAGUUAACCACAAUCAGAAUUCUAUUGGCUCUUGCAUUCACCCAAAACUGGCAUUUAUAUCAAUUAGAUGUAAACAAUGCUUUCCUUCAUGGAGAUUUGCAAGAAAAUGUAUACAAGAGUAUCCCUGAUAGUGUUGAUAGUGCUCCAAACACUGUUAGCAAAUUACAGAAGAGUCUCUAUGGUUUGAAGCAAGCCACUCGCAAGUGGUAUGAGAAAUUGACUUCACUAUUACUUAGUGAAGAAUACACACAGUCAAAUUCUGAUUACUCCCUCUUCAUCAAUGCACAUGGUUCUGAUUUCACAACUUUGUUGGUGUAUGUUGAUGACAUCAUCCUGGCAGGCUCUUCUCUUCAUGAAUUUGAUAGAAUCAAAUCCAUUUUAGAUUCCAAAUUCAAGAUCAAGGAUUUAGGAGUUCUCAAGGAUUUCUUAGGGUUGGAAAUUGCUCACUCUAAUGCAGGCAUUAGUGUUUCACAAAGGAAGUAUUGUCUAGACCUUUUAGAUUCUUCUGGCUUAUUAGGAUCUAAACCUGCUAGCACACCCUUAGAUACUUCAACAAAAUUGCAUCAAGACAAUAUCAAACCUUUUGCUGACGUGCCUUGCUAUAGGAGGCUCAUUGGUAGAUUGUUAUAUCUAGACACUACAAGGCCAGAUAUAACUUUAGCCACUAAACAAUUGAGCCAGUUCUUAAAUGCACCAACUACUUCACACUACAAAUAUGCUUGCAGGGUUAUCAAAUACCUUAAACAAAAUCCUGGACAUGGCUUAUUCUUCCCCAGAAAAUCAGAAAUGCAGAUUUUGGGUUAUGUAGAUGCUGAUUCGGCAGGAUGUAUUGAUUCCAGAAGAUCCACACCAGGUUUUUGUUUCUUUUUAGGCAAUAAGGAAGAAGAACACGCUAGGGCACAGUUACUUAGUCCACGGGUUAUUAACAACCCUAGUGAUAAAGUUGGUUGUAACUAACUCUCAGAGUUAGUUAUGAUAGAGGACGUGAUCCUAUAAUAUAGAGUUCACAAUAGCUUAACAUAUACUAUCAUUGUAACUCUAUAUAUAGUUGUAACACCUUCAUGCUUCAGUAAUGAAAACAGAUAUCAUUUUUCUGGUUUUUCUUUCUCUUUUCUUCUUUCUUCACCAUGAGAAUUCAGUUACUCAACAAUAAGCUAUUGUGGUAAUGAAACACUAUUGUACAACUAAAACACUCUAAACUCAAUUACUUAGGUAUCAUCCAAUAGCCCCCUACAAGCUGGAGGUUGAUAGAUAUCUAACAAGCCCAGCUUAGAUAAAAGAAGGUUGAAAGGUUGAGGAUGAAGAGCUUUGGUGAAGAAAUCAACAACCUGCUCUUAAGAAGAAACAUGAAGAAGCUUGAGUAUGCCAGAAUGUAGCUUUUCCCUCACUAUGUGGAAAUCAAUUUCCAAGUGUUUAGUGCUGAUGACAUAAAACCGCAAGUGCACGGUCUUACCGAAGUAGUAUGAAAAGAGUAUCGUUCCGACAGGGAGUAGUUUAAUUCAAUUAACCUUUGAUAAUGAUUAGAGGAGAAAAGAAUUGUAAGUUGGGGUUUUCAAGUGUUUGAAAGAUAAUAAUAAAAGGAGCCUUGGGAUCGUUGGUUCAUCUAAAUGGCAAGUCCUUCACAAACCAAACUAUAAGCUUAUAACUUUAUGUUAGACCUAAUUUCUCAAGACAGUUUCUCUUUUGUUCCUCUAGCAACCAAGCCUAUUUCGCUGACUUGAUUACUAUUAGAUUUUGGUUCCUCUAAAAACCAAGCCUAUUUUGCUGACUUGAUUAUUAUUAGUUCCCUUAAAGAUCGAAACUAUAUGUCUCAAAGAUUGCAAAGACUAUUUCGCUGCCUUUGCAAUCCUUGUCUAAAUUCACUUGUUCGAAUAUCAAACCUCCACUUUCGUUUUAUGAAUUGAUAUUUGAGAUGAUGGAUAAACUAUUAUCAAACCCUCCACUUUCGUUUCCACAGUUUGAUAAUGGUUGAUCCAUGUUAAAGCGGUGAAUUUAGAUAAGAAAUUAGGGUUACAUAAGAUUAACGCUUAGAGCUUAGCUUGAUUAGUAUUAUGUCAUUUAGACUUAUCCAACAAUCCCAAGACAAUGAGAAGUCUACUCACUCAUGUUCAUCGUAGACAUGGGGAAGAAAAGAGAAAGAAUAAAAGUAAAUGACAAGAAAGUAAAGGAAAAGAAAAGAACUUUUAUUAGAAAAGCAAUUGUCACUUAUUGAAUUCCAAGAAAAGAUGAAUAUUCGUGAUGGCUAGCUACUCUAUUUAUAGUUUACAUUCGACUUAAAAUCUAAGCAAUCACUAGAAUGUUCCACAAGUAAACUAAAACAGAGUAGCUUAAAAUCUAACCAAAAGCAGCAAAAGCGAUUCUGGAGGGUGGCACGGCCGUGCCAAGCUUCUGACUUUGGGGAGACAUAUUUUGUCUCCAAAUCUUCCUAUUUUUGUACCGAAUCAGCUCCAAAUCCCUUUCUUUUGCUCCAAGACUCAAUCCAUCAAAUAUUCUUUCCUGAAAUAUAAUAAAAUGCAAUUUGUAGUAAACUAUAUUAAAAACGAAAUAAUACUAAUAUAAAAUAAAAUAAAAUCUAAUUAAAACUAAACUAAAUCGCAUAUAAAAAUAGGUAUUAAAUGACUCAUCAAACUCCCCCACACUUGAAUCUUUGCUUGUCCUCAAGCAAAAGGCAUAAACAUGGUAGCAUAAAACGAUAUUAUCAUAUGACAAUUAAUUCGAAGCACAUGUCUCCUCAAAGGCUUUUAUUUCAAAGAGUACACUAAUCACAAACUCAAGCAUUUCUUGUAAUCCUUUUUUUCAACCCAACAAUCAAGUCUUAAGUGAGUGUGUGUGUGCAGUCCAACCCUUUUCUUGCUCCUGUAUAAGAUAGAUAUAAUGAGGAACAUGUUCUAAUCCUAGUACUAAAUCAACCAAGAAAAAUUAUUUCUUCAUUUCAUAUAAGAGAGAUGGGAGUCUUUGUGAUCUUUUGAUCUUUUGCCAAUUACAUAUUUUGGGUACUUUAUUUAAGGAACAACACCUUCACGUAGGAGGUUGGAGGGCCUACCCCCUUCCCCAAUCUAGAUUCAAUGAUGCCUUUUAAAGUUUCUUUUUCAAGAUAACAUUAUAUUCACGUAGGAAGUCGGAGGGCCUAUCUCUUUCCCCAAUCUAAAUUCAAUAAUGCAACCUUGAAAUAAUUUUUGGCUUGGCUUUUUUUUUUUAUAAACUCCUUUAUACUAACUUAUACUAUUUUUACUUUGAGAAUUUUUAAAGGUUAACGUACUACUAAAAUUAGAACGCAUUUCCUUAAAAUACCUAUUCAUACAUUUACUCAAGGGAAGCAACUUGUGCAUUUCUCAUUGGAGGUUUUAUUCACUUUAAAACAAGAUGCGGGUAUAUCAGGAGAACUUAAAACACAAGAGCUUUACUUUCAUGUACAAGAAACAACUAGUAAGAGGAGACAAUAAAAAUUUUAUGUCAUGAUUUCUCAAUAAAAACAAGCUACUUAAUCAUGUCUUUCACAAUAAAACAAAACAAAAAGAAUAAAGUUCAAGGGAGUUUGGAAAUACUACGACUAAAGACACUUUAUUAGGCUCCCCCCACACUUAGGAGAAGCAUUUUCCUCAAUGAUUUAAGAAGAAAAAUGAAAGAAACAAGGAAAAAGUGGGAAAGGAUGCGGAAAGCUCACAAUUUGCUAAAAAAAAAAAUUUGAAUCCUGGAGGCCUGUUCGGUUGGCACGGCCGUGCCAACAUUAGCACGGGUCGUGCCAUCUUCCUGCCAACUUUGGUUGAUUUUGUGUUGUGGAUCAUGGCACGGCCGUGCCAACUCAAGCACGGGCCGUGCCACCUUUCUAGGUCUUGUAACUUUAAUUUUUCUUGCGUUUCUUAAUCAAUCUCGAACAUUUACCUACAAAACAAAGAGAUAUAACAGAAAACCAAGAAAGCAAUUAAAUCAGUGGGUUGCCUCCCACGAAGCGCUCUUUUAUUGUCACUAGCUUGACAAAGAUAAGGAUAAAAAUCCUUAAGGAGGGUCACUUAAAAGUAAAAUCAGCCACCACUUCAUUUACUUCUCCGGUAUUAUAAAUUUAAGUCUUUGCCCAUUAACCGUGAAGGAUCCUGUUUCUUCAGAAAAUAUUUCAAUUGCCCCAUAAGGGUAGACCGUGCGAACUUGAAAUGGACCGGACCAUCGCGACCUUAGUUUACCUGGAAAGAGCUUUAGCCUAGAAUUAAAGAGCAACACAAGGUCACCGCUUUUGAAGUGCUUUUUGAUGAUUUUCUUGUCAUGCCAAUGAGUUAAAAUACUACUUACCUCGUUUUCAGGAAUGCAUCUUCUGAAAAUCCCAUCUGAGCCUCUUCUGAAGAGGUAAGGCUCAUCCCAAUAGUAGCGCUUGAGAUCAUUGAAGAUCUUCUUCUUUUGUUGGUAGCUCAACUCAGGUGGUAGCACUCCUGCUGCAAGAAAAUUAACAAAAUCUGCAUACCAAGGUGCGUUAGUUUGUGCCAAUAAGAAGAGUUGGUCAUCCGGGAAGGAAUCAUCCAAGGGUAGCUCAUCCUCAUACUAGUUGUCAGCGACAACAUUUUCGACACCCUUUUUAUCUUUUAUUUCAAGGUCAAAUUCUUGGAGGAGCAAAAUCCAUCGGAUCAACCUCGAUUUGGCAUCUUUUUUGUUUAGCAAAUAUUUUAUGGCCGAGUGAUCUGUGUAAACAAUGAUUUUUGAUCCCACCAAGUAUUGCCUGAAUUUGCCAAUGGCGUAGACAACCGCUAGCAAUUCUUUUUCUGUUGUGGCAUAAUUUACCUAUGCCUCAUCUAGGGUCUUACUGCAUAGUAUAUGGCAUGCAUCUUUUUUUCCUUUCUUUGGCCUAACACCGCCCCAACCGCAUAGUCGCUUGCGUCACACAUUAUUUCAAAAGGCAAGCUCCAAUCUGGUGGUUGUAUGAUUGGGGCAGUAAUCAGUGCUUCUUUCAACCUGCAAAAUGCCUGUAAACAAGUAUCAUCGAAGACAAAGUCUGCGUCCUUAAGAAGUAGACUUGUUAGUGGUUUAGUGAUUGAUGAAAAAUCUUUAAGGAAACGGCGGUAGAACCCUGCAUGUCCUAGGAAACUUCUAAUUUCUUUGACUGAGGUGGGAGGUAGCAUUUUUUCAAUAAUUUCGAUUUUUGCUUUGUCUACCUCUAUACCUCUUUCGGAGACCAAGUGUCCUAGGACAAUUCCUUCUCUUACCAUGAAGUGACAUUUCUCCCAAUUCAAGACUAGGUUCACCUGCUCACAUCUUUCCAAAACUUUUUCAAGGUUAGUCAAACAAUUAUCAAAACUAGAUCCAUGCACAGAAAAAUCAUCCAUAAAAACUUCCAUUAUCUUUUCAACAAAGUCAGAAAAAAUGGACAUCAUGCAUCUUUGAAAAGUAGCAGAGGCAUUACAAAGACCAAAAGGCAUCCUCCUAAAGGCAAAGGUUCCAAAUGGGCAUGUAAAAGUUGUCUUUUCUUGGUCAUUAGGGUGAAUGGGUAUUUGAAAAAAUCCGGAAUAACCAUCUAAGUAACAAAAAUGUGAAUGCUUAGCUAACCUUUCUAACAUUUGAUCUAUAAAAGGGAGAGGGAAUUGAUCUUUACGAGUUGCUUUAUUAAGCUUCCUGUAAUCAAUACACAUUCUCCAACCGGUGACAGUUUUAGUAGCAAUGGAUUCAUUCUUAUCAUUUUUAAUAACUGUGAGACCACCCUUCUUAGGUACAACUUGCACGGUUCUAACCCAUUUGGAAUCUAACACCUGCAUCUAGGAGAGUUUUAAAACUUCUUUUUUCACAACUUCUUUCAUAUUAGGGUUUAGCCUUCUUUGAUGUUCAAUGGAGGGUUUAUAAUUGUAACACCCCGAUUUCCCAACAUAAAUAUUAUUAUAAAAUCAGAGUUAAUCAACAAACGGAGUGUUACGCUGCUUUUCAAAAAUUCUUGAAUAGGAUAAAAUGUUAUUCAUUAAAUAAUGGUUUCAAUAAAACAUAUCAAUUCAUCGCAGCGAAAUUUAUUUUCAACAUUAAACAUCCUUCAAAUAAAUCUUGGCACAUAGCCUCAACAUAAAUAUCCUUAAAGAUCUAAUCCAACAAAAGGUUCAUAAUGAUACAUAAGGAAUGAUGAAAAUACAACGACAAAGUUUCCCCAUCCGGUUACGUAUCAAAGCCCUAAGACACAUGUGAGGAAAGUCCACUCACAAUAGCAAAGACAGCAACAUAAGCAACUUGCAACAUAGCAAUAUUAAUAAUAACAACUUGAAUGAUAUAAACAACGAUAAUUUCUAUAUCAUACAUUUUCCACAUAAAAUAUAUAGCUUAAAUUAACCAACAACAUCAAUUAUAUUAGUUUAUAUUGACUGAGAGGCUAUACUUUUAUAAACAACUUCCAUUCCUAUCCCAAGGACCAACUCAUGAACUCAUUGGACCCUUUAUACAACGUUAUCUCCUUCCUAAAACAUUUCUAGAUGGUUAGGAUAAAGUUCAUACACUUAAGAAGAAGUCUGGAAACAUUUGGAGUGAAGAAAAUUGCAUUUUUAAGGUUUCUGGUAAGACAACAUCAGACAUACUAAAAUUACAGAUUUUCUGUCGAAACCGCCUCAUGAUCACUAAAAUCGCCUCAUAAUUUCGACAGCAUCAGAUUUUCACCCUUCACGUUUUCGCGCCUAAAAAUAAAACCGUUAAUCCGUUUUCGAUGCCGUUUUCGCCUACGCGCUCCUAACACUUAGCUCUAUCACAAUAUACAAAAAAAAUCCAGUUUCAACCACCCAAAAAUCGGUUUCCAAAACCUCACAUAAUCACUCAUUUGCAAAAACAUUUAGACACCGACUCUUCAAGCGAAAAUCCCAAUUUUCAUCAAUCCAAACUCAAAAACUGAUUAGGAAUUUAACCUAUGAUUAUUCUACAACAUGAACACCACCUAUUACUUUAAUCCAUCAGAUUAUCUACUCUUUCUACAUCAAUCUAACAAUUUUUAAUCAAUUCCGCACUUUAACCCUAAUUCUCAAAUCCUCCAAAACUAAUCCCACCCUUGUUAAAUUUAAUCAUCGAAAUUACAGACUUAAUAAGAUUGAAUGUUAAUCUCACCCUUACCUUGAAUUGAUGAACAAAGCUCUACAAAAAUCAGAUUCUCCCCUCUUGGCUCUUCUCCCUAGCUUUCUCUUGGUUUUUCUCCCAAAAACUAUUUUUACGUGAAAACUUUUCUAAACCUAGCUUCCUCUUUAUAUCUCUCCUCAAUCCCUUUUAUCUUAUUUCCUCUAUUUCCACUAAACUCUUCUAAAUUCCAAAACAGCCCCACAUCUCAAUAUUUAUUUUAUUUUCAAAUCUUAUUCUAUUAAAUACUAAAAUAAGCCACUUAAUAAAUCACAUAAUCAUUUAAAUAUAUUCUAAACUCAUUAAAAAUAAUCAAAUAAAACAAAUAAUUUAAAGAGGGUGUUACAAUAAUCUUCUUCAAGAAGUAUCCUAUGCAUGCAUAAUGAAGGAUUUAUUCCUUUAAUGUCGUCAAUGGUGUAUCCUAUAGCUUUAGGAUAAUUCUUGAGGACAUAAAGUAACUUUUCGGUUUCUACUUCAUCGAGGCUUGCAUUCACAAUAAAAGGGUAGGUAGAGUUAGGGCCCAAGAAUUCAUACCUUAGAUUUGAUGGAAGCGGUUUGAGCUCUACUUUUGGUGCCCCUUUGGAUAGAAGUGCUGGUUCUUCCUUUACUAAUUCCUCCACACUUAAACCUUCCAUUGGAGGGGUUCUAUUCAACAACUCUUCAUAAGCUUUUGCCUCCCCUUCUAGCUUUGUACCUGCAUUAUUUACCAAGCAUACUUCCAGACCAUCAUGGUCGACUUAAGUUCCCCUACUCCCAACCUCUCAUAAAGGGAUAAAGGCAUUAAGCUGACACUUGCUCCUAGAUCACACAUAGCUUUCUUCACUACUUCUGACCCUAUGACACAAGGUAUGGAAAACCUAGCUGGGUCUUUAAGCUUUGGUGGCAAUUUAUUUUGGAUGAUGGCACUACAUUCUUCCGUAAGGUUAACCGUCUCACCUUCCUCAAUUUUUCUCUUUUUAGAAAGGAUUUCUUUUAAAAAUUUUGCAUAGGUAGGCAUUUGGGUUAAAACUUUGGUGAAAGGCACAUCAAUGUAUUUUUUGUUCAUCAUUUCUAUGAACUUUUUAAAUUGCUCAUCUAGCUUAGAUUUGGCAAACCUUUGUGGGAAGGAAAUUUUUGGCUUAAAGGGAGGUGGUGUGGUCUCCUCAACUCGUGGUUCUUCUCUUUCUACCCUGGUUUCCCUAACCGGUGGUUCGCAGAUCUCUCUCUCACUUUCAUUGGAUUUGGUUCUCCCUAUAGGGUCUUCUAGUGGCUUACCACUCCUAAGUAUAACAACAUUCAUUUUGUUGGGUUAGCCUACCUUAUGAACUACUUGGGAGAGCUGUGUUUAUGAAGUUUUGUUGUGAGAGGAGAUGGAGUCUAUCUUUGUUGUGAGAGUAGCAAGAGAGUCGCUCAAAAGUUUAGUUUGAUCCUUAAGCUCUUGGAGCUGUUCGGAUUGUUUAAGAAAAUAGUUUUCCAUUAAAAGUUCAAUGUGAGACUUUUGAACAACUCUUUGGCUAUUUUGAACAAAAUUUAACUGCUCAAUACUACCUAGUUUGCAAUCGAUGCUAGAAUGACUACAUAGGCCACAUGCUUCACAUGGAGGUGAAAAGGUAGGUGUGACAACACAAGUAUUCAUGUGAUCAAGUAUUUGAGAUAGUGCAUUCACCUUGGUAGAUAGAUAGUCAAAGGAAGAGAUUUUGUUCAUACCUGCCUCUUUUUCAGAGGGUGAAGAAUUGAUGAUUGCUUUCUCUUCAGUCCAUUAAAAAAGGUUUAGAGCCAUGUCUUCAAUCAAGGCAUAAGCUGUUGUAAAAUCCUUGUUCAUUAGGGCACCACCUGCAGCUGCAUCAACAGUUAACUUAGUGUUAGAUGUUAAACCAUUGUAAAAGGUGUGGAUGAUUAACCAUUUAUCCAAACCAUGAUUGUAACACCCCGCUUCCCAAAAUCACUUAAAAUAAUAUUAAUUCAUCAAUAAUCAGAGUAAUCAUAACGGGCAUGCCACAUUUCUUCAUUUAAAAUUUGUUAAAUAGAGUAAAUAUAAAAAAAACUAUUUAAUCAAACGUCGUUCGUAAAUUGUCAUUAAAACUCGCAGCAGAUUAUUUGCAACAUCACCAAGUCAACAAUAAUUAUUCUUGGCAUAAAAGCCAUUUCAACAUAAAAUUCGAUUCAUCAAAGGGCUACAUCAGCAAUAUUUCAAGAUUGAUACAUAGGAAAGAAUUCAAGCAAUAAAAAUCUCAUCCCACGUAUCAGAGCCCUAGACACUGUGAGCCACCACCUACUACUCAGGAUCACCUGCAAGUUACCCAUAGGAAGGGCAACAUUUUCAAGAAAAAGGGGUGAGAUUCUCAAACAAUAAUAAUAAUAUAUAAUAACAUAAAUGAAUCUAACAUCCUUUCAACAUAAUCAUUCAUCAAAUAUAAGUAUAACAUUAUUAGCAACUUCAGCACCAACAGUAAUUAAUAGACAGAAAUCAACGACUCAUGCAUGACAUGACGACUCCACUAAGACUCCUCAACAAAUGCAACUAUGCAUGUGGUACCAUAUCAGAGCCAAAGCUCUCAUCGUUGUAGAAUGGUUAAAGCAUUCUUUUAUCAGGACAUGAGUCCUCAUCGUUAACAUCGUUUUGAACAACAUCGUGUUCCAUCGUUUUGAACGACAAGGCGUUCCAGGGCAUGAGCCCUCAACGGUUGAAUGAUUAACAUUCCAGGGCAUGAGCCCUCAACAGAUUGAAUGACAAAGCAUUCCAGGGCAUAAGCCCCCAACAAUUUGAAUGACAAAGCAUUCCAGGGCAUGAGCCCUCAACGGUUGAAUGACGAGCAUUCUAGGGCAUGAGCCCUCAACGGUUGAAUGACAAAGCAUUCCAGGGCAUGAGCCCUCAACAGUUUCCUAAUCAUGAAAGGACUCCACUUGUGUAUAUCAGCAUACAACUCAACUACGACAACAACAACAUAGGCAACGACAACGAUCGUGCAUAAUAACUCACUCACUCCCCAACUUGGUCAACAUCAACAACCUAUGACUCCGUUACUUAGAACGACAACUUGCAACCUUACAACCUGAACCAACAUCUUGUAUAAUCCAAUUGAAUGCAUUUAUCCAUAAACCAACAAUCAGCAGCAAAUCAUAUUCAAUCAACAGCAACAUAUAAUAAUAAGCAGCGAGACAACAACGAUAAUAACCAUCAUAUACAACAAGUAGGACUCAUAUCAACAUCUUUCAUAAUAUAUAACUAUCUCCUCAUUUGUUCAUCAACCUAAGUCGACGUCAAUAAACAUUAUAAACAUCCUCUCUGAAUCUCCGUAUAAUCAAGAAUAACUUCUCUCCUACCUCAAGGGUCUACUCAUAACAUGGGUUAAAUACUCUUAGACACCUUAAUUGAACUCAUAUUACUUCUAGUUUUGAGCCUUUGAAUUAUCCCAUAAGUUUUGGAUUAACUUAAAAAGGGUUAUGCUGAAUUUUCAUAAGAUUUCACUAAGACCUCCUUGGAGUAUUUUCAUCAUAACUCCUAAACCAAAUAUCAUUUUCGAGUCAAACCAAAGCCAUUGGAAAGCUAACAAAAUUAUCUACAACUUUCAUGUUUACACCAAAACCCAGUUCAAAGCAGAAACAUGUGAAACAGACGCAAGAACAUAAAACAAGGAAUGCUGUCACUGGGCAAUUUCGCUAAUGGCGAAAACUGAGCUAAUAGCGAAAUAGUUACAGGGAGUUUCGCUAAUAGCGAACUCCUAGCGAGUUUUUCCCUUGCUGUUACGAUUUCUGCACAAUUUUCACCCAGAAAAACCAAAUUUCAUCUACCGAAACCCCAAAUUUGAUAGGAAACUUAACCUAUGAUUAUUCUACCACCUGAACAUCAAUUCUUAACACAAUUGCCAUGGUUUCUACACUUUUCAAUCCAAGAAUCAUACUCCCAAAACCUAAACCCCAAUUCCCAAUUCACCAAAUUUAUUCAUAACUUUUGCCAAACAGAAUCAGAAUUAUAUAAACUAAAAUAAUUGCAAGUUAGUCUCACCCUUACCUUAGAAUUGUAAACACAAAAGUACGACAAAUCAAUCCCUAAGCUCUUCUCUCUUGGUCUUCUCCCUUGCCUUAGCUUUUUCCUCUCCCACUUGUUUUCACGUUAAAACUGUUUCUGACUUUUCUUUCCUUCACUUCUCAAAAUUAUAACUUCCCCUUUUUCAUUAAAACCUCCCUUAUUAUUAUUAAUUUCUAAUUAAUCCCCAACCUCCUAAAUAAUUCCCUUAUUUUUAUUAUUCUAUUUAUAUUAAAUAAUUUAUAUAAAUAAAUACUACACACUGCAUAUAACACAUAUAUUAAUUAAAAACACACAAAAGACUCUAACUAAUUCUAAAAAUAAUAAAAUAACGACUAGGGCGUUACAAUGAUGGGGACAAAGUCUAAGUAUUUCUUUAAAACGCUCCCACAACUUUCGUGUUUACACCUAAGACCAAUUAUGUACCAAUCAAUACGAACAUAUAACAUAACAAAAUAUCACUCAUCAAAAUAAAUCAUAUAAAUCACACAAAUCAUAUAAUUAUAUUCUAAACUCAUUAAACUAAUCAAAUAAUUAAAGAGGGCGUUACAACUCUCCCCCCCUUAAAAGAAUUUUGUCCACGAAAUUCAAAGCACAAAAGAAAUGAAUUCAAUUAUUGCUUAAAUAUCUUAAACUACAUAUAGCCAAAUAGAAACUUCAAACAAAACAUACAAACCACAUUAAAGUUAGUCAAUCAAACAUGAUCACAUAAUAAACAUAAUUAUUAAUCAGAAACACAACAACAACCAAUCAAAUAGCAUAAAGAUAGUAAUACAACUAUUACUCGACACAACUCGACUCAACUACUUGGCCGAACGGACUGACCUGCUCUGAUACCAAUUGUAACACCCCGUUUUCCCAACAUAAAAAUUUCAUAAAUUAAUCAGAGUAAAACACCUUAAACAGAAUGUUACACUUCUUUUCUUAAAAAUCAUAAAUGGAAUAAUUAAAUAAUUAUCCUUCAAAUUUCAACAAUGUAAUAAUUAAACUUUGCAGCGGAAUUAAUUCAACGACAAUAAAAGCUUCAACAACAUGUUUCCAAAAUUGAUACAUAAAGGAAUGAUAAACAUAGCAACAAUUUCCCAUCCCGUUACGUAUCAGAGCCCGAAGACACUUGAGUCACCACUCCUACCAAUCUUUAAUACCUGCAAGUUACUCAUACGAAGAGCAACAUCUCCAAGCAGAAGGGGUGAGAUUUCACAAAACAAUAAUAUUAAGCAUAUAAUCCAACAAUUAUAUUUAACAACAUGAAAACAUCAUAAUAUUCAUCAUAGAUAAUAAUAUAUCAUAUAUCACUUCAUUAAUAGUUCAUAUAAAGAAUCACAGCUUUAACAACUUGACAACUUAACAUCUUUAACUUGACAAAUGCGACUCCAACUCGACUAUGCAACUUAGACCUCUUAUAUGCAUGUGGUACCAAUACAGAGCAUCAAGCCCCCAUCGCUAUUUGAGUAUUACCAUACUCCAGAGCAUCAAGCCCCUAUCGCUAUUUGAGUAUUACUAUACUCCAGGGCAUCAAGCCCCUAUCGCUGAAAUGCUAAUGCAUGGACUCGACUUCUUAAACAUCUUAAAUCGACAACCUCUUAUAUAAUUCAAUAAUUUGGAACUUCAUCAUCUUAAUCAACUUAGACCGACUCAUGCAGCUUAGUUAAAUAACAACAGCGACACAUCAGCAUACAAAAACGGCAUGACAUAAUAAUAUCAAAUGCAAGCCAAUCAACAUCUCAAAACAUCAUAUAUACAUAUAAAACUUCAUCAAUCAUGGACAAUAUCGAAUUCACAAACAUAUACAUACAUAUAUUAAUUCAUCAAUCAUAUUCAAUUAUUCACAGUGACCUAUGUGCAGUAAUCUGACCAUAACUCAAGUUCUAUAAAUCCUUUUGAAGUAAAACUAACGGCAUUAGAAAGCUAACAUCCAUACCUACAACUUUCGUGUUUACACCUAAGACCAAUUAUUUACCAAUCAAUACCAGUUUUCAUUUCAAAUUCGGACAAAGUUGUUCUGAAAUUCAUAAAAAUUCACUGUGACCUACGUGCAGUAAUUUGACCAUAACUCAAGUUCUAUAAAUCGUUUUGACGUCCGACCAACGGCAUUAGAAAGCUAACAUCCAUACCUACAACUUUUGUGUUUACAACUAAGACCAAUUCUGUACCAAUCAAUACCAUAUUUCGUUUCAAAUUCGGGGCAGAGAUGAAAAGAAAAAAUAAGAAAAAGCAACCUAUAUUAUUCAACUUCACUUUCAUUCAAAAUCAUCACUCUUAACAAUUUUUCAUCAAUUAAUCUCAAAUUUCUCACUUGAACCCUAAUUCUCAAAUUCUCUAAAACCAAUCCUACAGUUGUUAAAUUUAAUCAUCAGAAUUACAGACUUAAUAGAAUUGAAUGCUGGUCUCACCCUUACCUUAAUAAAUCGAUCAGGCAGCCUCUUGAUAGAUAAUUAGCAAGUGUACUAACUUAUAUCGAAGUAAUAAAAUUUAUAAGAUUCGUUUCCACAGGGACUGUUUCAACUUCUACUCGGUAGUAACGUUAUUAUUAAGGAUGUUUGUAAAAUGGGGGGUGCACUGAGGCAAUUGGUUUAAUUUGCAAGUUAAAAUAAAAUGGUUAAGGAAAAAUUGGUUUAAGAAAUAAUAUGGAGUGAUGACUAGGUCAUUCGAUUCAUCUGCUCAUCGCUCAUUAGCAACAUGUUUCUUACGUUUACGAACGCUAUAAAGUUUACGACAAAUUAACAAAAUAGCUUAGGUCAAUCCCUUGAUCCUAAGCCCUCUUUUCUGAUUAUAAUUCCCUAAUCCCUUAGGUGAACCUAUAGUCAUCAAAGGUUUUAAGUCCGUUAAUUCAAGUAUCACAACCUAACAACGCUCCAUCCCUAGAUUGUCCGUUAGAUUGAACAGUAUAAAUAUGUCAGAGUUAAACGCUAGUGUCAGUAGUCAUAUAUACUCUAAAAUCAAUUAUAUUGGGUCAUAAUCAUAAAAGCUUUAAGAACAAUUUAUACUGAAUAAACUAGAAUGGCAUUCAUAAAGAUUAAGAGUUGCAGGUUACAUAAACAUGAGCUAGAACAAAAUCAUCUCUUGACCUAAUCACAAAGGAUCUAGCUACUCAUGACUAAAGCACAAAUAACUAAUGUAAAAGAAGGAUUCAUUACAUGAAAUUGGUAACCGAAUAUGAGUUUCGAUGGUCUCACACCUUCUCUCCAGAUCUCCAGCUCCAAAAGUCAGUUUCUUUCUCCAAAUUUUCCAACCCUUGGCUCAGAAAACAACUUCCCUUUUAUAGGAAAAUUCUCAGAUACGCCAAAAUCGUACUCCGAUGCUGUAAAUCGGAGCACGAUGGCUUCAUUAAAGUCAUAUCCUGGCUGGAGCGUCUGCCAAAUCGUAGCCCGAUUUGGUUCCAUCGGAGCACGAUUUUUUACGAGACAAAAUGUCUCAAAUUUGCUGUAAAAUCGGAGCACGAUGCUGUAAAUCGGAGCACGAUUUCUUAUUUGUUUGCCAACAUCAAAUGUGUCAUUUGAAGCUUCUAUCUCAUGCAAAAUCACCCGAACUCAACCAAAAUUACAUAAAAACUAUAACAAAAGUGAUAUAUGACCUAGUGUCAUCACCUCUCUUGGUUCUUCUCUUCUCUUCUCUUACUUCUCACUUUCUCCCUUUUUCUCUCAAAAGCAGUUUGCACCAAAUCCUUAUUUUCUAAUUCUAACUCUCCCCUUUUAUAAAUAUCUUUAACCUACUUAUUUUUCUCUUAUAUUCAAAUCUCCCUAAAAUCUCAAUAUUCUAUUGUAAUAUAUAAAAUAUAAAAUAUAAAAUAUUUCUAUAACAAUUAUCAAAUAUAUCUUUAUAACAAAUAUAUUUCUAAUAUAUAUAUAUAUAUAUAUAUAUAUAUAUAUAUAUAUAUAUAUAUAUUUCUAAACCAAAUAACAUAUAUAUUUCUAAACCAAAUAAUAUAUAUAUUUCUAAACAAAAUAACAUAUAUAUUAUACUAAUAAAUACCAACAUAUAACAUAACAAAAUAUCACUAUCAAAAUAAAUCAUAUAAAUCACACAAAUCAUAGAAUUAUAUUCUAAACUCAUUAAAAUAAUCAAAUAAUUAAAGAGGGCGUUACACUGACUUAAUUAUUAUUAGUUCCCUUGAAGAUCGAAACUAUAUGUCUCAAAGAUUGCAAAGACUAUUUCGCUACCAUUGCAAUCCUUGUCUAAAUUCACUUGUUCGAAUAUCAAACCUCCACUUUCGUUUUAUGAAUUGAUAUUUGAGAUGAUGGAUAAACAAUUAUCAAACCCUCCACUUUCAUUUCCACAGUUUGAUAAUGGUUGAUCCAUGUUAAAGCGGUGAAUUUAGAUAAGCAAUUAGGGUUACAUAAGAUUAAGGCUUAGAGCUUGGCUUGAUUAGGAUUAUGUCAUUUAGACUUAUCCAACAAUCCCAAGACAAGGAGAAGUCUACUCACUCAUGUUCAUCGUAGACAUGGGGAAGAAGAGAGAAAGCAUAAAAGUAAAUGACAAGAAAGUAAAGGAAAAGAAAAGAACUUUUAUUAGAAAAGCAAUUGUCACUUAUUGAAUUCCAAGAAAAGAUGAAUAUUCGUGAUGGCUAGCUACUCUAUUUAUAGUUUACAUUCGACUUAAAAUCUAAGCAAUCACUAGAAUGUUCCACAAGUAAACUAAAACAGAGUAGCUUAAAAUCUAAGCAAAAGCAGCAAAAGCGAUUCUGGAGGGUGGCACGGCCGUGCCAAUGCUGGCACGGGCCGUGCCAAGCUUCUGACUUUGGGGAGACAUAUUUUGUCUCCAAAUCUUCCUAUUUUUGUACCGAAUCAGCUCCAAAUCCCUUUCUUUUGCUCCAAGACUCAAUCCAUCAAAUAUUCUUUCCUGAAAUAUAAUAAAAUGCAAUUUGUAGUAAACUAUCUUAAAAAGGAAAUAAUACUAAUAUAAAAUAAAAUAAAAUCUAAUUAAAACUAAACUAAAUAGCAUAUAAAAAUAGGUAUUAAAUGACUCAUCAGGUGCGUUCAUGAAAUACAUGGUUAGCUGCUAUAUGUAAAGCGCUUUCAAAUAUCUCAAAACCCUUAAGGCAGCAACAUGAUGAGUAUGAGUAGGAGCAGAUAGAAAUUGACUCAAUUGUUGUGUGAUAUAGGUGAUGUCUGGUCUGGUGAUAUUUAGGUAGAGUAAUCUACCAAUCAGCCUUCUAUAGGAAGAAAUGUCUUCAUAGGGUAAGGCACCAUCCUUGUGUAACUUGAUAGAGGGGUCAGAAGGAAAGGAUGCAGGUUUAGAACCAAUGGCACCUGAAUAUGCAAGCAAAUCUAAGUAGUAUGCAAGCAAAUCUAAGCAGUAUUUCUUCUGACAAAGAGAGAUACCAAGAUGGGAAUGUGAAACUUUUUAUCGAGAAAAUUUUUGGUUCAAUUUUUUUAAGUAUUACACAAUAUAUAAUGGCCAGACAAUUAAACGUAGUAGAACAGUGGACACACGAACACUAACAUGUUAUCUUUCCACUAGUAGUAAGAGAGUCAAUAAAAUGAUCUUCUGAAUGUUAUAUUUAAUUUCUAGUGUACAGGCAAAAGUUGUAUAGUCGCUCUUGCGUCACUAGACGAUAACAGAGAUGAAACCUCUUAGAGGAAUCAAAUGCAUUGCAGGAGUAUUAGGCAAUGUAAAGAUAAAAGCUUUAUGGGAUAUGCAAGAACCACACAUGUUAAACUGCCUUUAUUCAAUGAACAAAAUGCAAAUGCAUUUAUAUUUUCAAAUGACAACUGCUGUAUAGUACGGAAAUUUUGGAUGCGAAUUUUUACGAAUUUGGAGUACAAUUGCGAAAGCUGAAUUAUUUCCCUCUCCCACGUGCAGCUUCGACAUUUUAUCAAAAAAUAAAAAUAAAAUAAAAAUACACCCUUCGUAGUAAUGCAAACCAAACAGUGUCAUCCUCUCAAGUGUUGUUAUCUACUUCGUUUUUUGAACAUUCUUUUAAUUGCUCAAAGAGAUAAGAGUGUGGACUCUAUGAAACUCAUUGUGUAUGAUGUACGAAAUCCUCACUUCACUCUUAUUUUAAUUUGUUAACAUGGAAUACAUAAAUUAUAUGAAGUAUCUUAUUAAUAGUCAUUCGAGUUAUGUAACAGUGAGAACCUUGAUUCCUAAAAUCUAAAUUAAAAACAGAAUAUUCUUCCAAAUAAUUAGUAACAAGCUGAAAACCCACCAGCAGUAGGGGUGAUAUGAAGGCCAUAAAUUAACUUUUCGGGGCCUCUGCAAUUGAUUUCUGCAAGCCCUCGUAAACAUGACGAACAUAAAUACAAAUUAAGGAGGAGGAGGUUAUGGUGGAUCAACGGUGGCACCAUGGGUCGAUACAGGCAAGGCGGUUGUUGUAACACCCUGUUUUCUCAACUUGAAAAUUUCACAUAAAAAUCAUAGUAAUUCAACAUAAACGGAAUGUCACACUUUUUUUCAUAAAAUCAUAAACGGAAUAAAUUCACUAUUUAUUGUCCAACUUAAACAUCAUAUCAUUUAUUACUUGUCAACGGAAAUUAUUUCAACGUUUAAAACAACCUUGGCACAAAGGCCUCAAUGUAAAAUCUCAUAAAAUUAUUCCAACAACAUGUUCAUAAAACUUCAUAAAAUAAAACGUAAAGAACAUAAAGCAACAACAAAAUUUCCAUCCUGUUACGUAUCAGAGCGACCCUAAGACACAUGUGAGAGAAUCGACUAACUUCAACAACUAAUCUUGAUUACCUGCAAGUUACCCAAUUGUGAGGGCAACAUUUCCAUGCAGAAGAUGUGAGAUUUCACAUUCAAUAAUAAUAAGCAUAUAAUUCAUCAAAAUCAUUUAACAACUUAAACUUCAUCAAUUAAUAACAUUAACUCUUCUUAUAAUACUUCAUUAAUAACUCAACCAACUUCUAAACAUCAUUAACUUCAUAUUCAUCACAUUAUAUACAACAUCAUAUAACACAUAAUAAUCAGAUUAUAAACAUCAUCUGAUAACGAAAUAAUCAUCACAUCAUAAUAUCAUUUUAUAACAACAUAAACGAUACAUCAUAAACAUCAUCUUAAAGAACAUCAUAACAACUUAACAACAUCAUAAUCAACAUCAUAAACAACAUCAUAUAAUCUUCAUAAGCACUUCAUUUACAACAUGUGGAUAGAAGACAACUCAACAACUUAAUAACUCAUGGAUGACAACUCAUCAACAACGACUUUGACUCGACAAUGCAACUUCGACUUCUUAAUCAUGCAUGUGGUACCAAUCCAGGGCAUCAAGCCCUCAACUUAUUUGAGCAUUAAUAUACUCCCAAGGCAUCAAGCCCUCAACUUAAUUGAGUAAAGGCACCAGAGCAUCAAGGCCCAACGUAUAGAGAUAAAUAUACUCCAAGGUAUCAAGCCCUCAACUUAAAGAGCAAAAGCUCACAGAGCAUCAAUCCCUCAACAUAAGAGCAAAAGCUCACAUAACAUCAAGCCCUCAACUUCAAAUGAGUAUGCAAGGACUCAACAACAUACAACUUGGACAACAUCAACAACUUAUAUGACUCCAAUAUCUUGGAACAACAACUUGACAACUUUGACUAACAUAUGAAACUUAAUGAUUUAAUCAUCAAUACAGCAGAGAUAACAACAUACAACAACUUCACAACAUAGCAUCAUUAAAAAUAACAACUUGAACGAUAUAAACAAUAAUAAUUUUUAUAUCAUACAUUUUCAACACAUUAUAUAAAUAUCUUAAACUAACCAACAAUCAUUAAUCAUUUGAUUCAGGCUCUCUGUAAGUCUAUAAAUUAAUAAUAACUUCCAUCCUAUCCCAAGAUCAACUCACAACAUAGGUUAAAUACUCUUAAACACCUUAAUUGAACUCAUAGUACUUCUAGUUUUGAGGUUUGAAAUUAUCCCAUAAGUUUUGGAUUAACUUAGAAAUGAUUAUACUGAAUUUUCAUAAGAUUUCACUAAGACCUACUUUGAGUAUGUUCAUCAUAUCUCAAGCACCAAAAAUCAUUUUCACAUCAAACCAAAGCCACUGGAAAGCUAACUCAAUUAUCUGCAACUUUCAUGUUUACACCAAAGGCCAAUUCAAAACAGAAACGUGUGCAAAAGACGCAAGAACAUGAAACGGAACGUGCUGUCAAAGAGCAACUCGGGAAAAACCCACUUUUCACCCCAAAAUCUCAAUUUUAACUUCCCUAUGCCCAAAUUUGAUCCAAAAACUUGUCUAACCAUUUCUAUACAUGUUAAGUCACUCAAAACCAUAUAAAACAUUGUACUAAAAAUAACCCACGAUCUGAACAUCAAUUCUACCAAAUUCAACGGCUUUUCUACUCUAUUAACAACCAAUUACAACUUCAAAACCUAAUUCCCAAAUUUCCAUAACUACAAACUACAACAUGCUAAACUCAAUUUCAUAAUUAUACAACUUAAAAUUAGAGAAAGUUAGUCCCACCAUUACCUUAGAUUGAUCGACGAAGGACUCUACCGCUUUCUCUCCUCUAACUCUUCUCUUCUCUUGGUUUUCUCCAAAAACAGGUUUCACGUAAUCCUUAUUUUCUAAUUCUAACUCUACCAUUUUAUAUAAAUCCUUAACCUACUUAUUUUCUCUUAUUUCCAAAUCUCCCCUCAAAGUCUCAAUAUUCUAUCCAUAUAUAAAAUAUUUCUAUAACAAAUAUAUCUUUAUAACAAAUAUAUUUCUAUAACAUAUAUAUUUCUACACCAAAUCAGAAAUAUAUUUCUACACCAGAUAACAUAUAUAUUUCUACACCAAAUAACAUAUAUAUUUCUACACCAAGUAACAUAAUAUUUCCACACCAAAUAACAUAAUAUUUCUAAUCAAAAUAACGUAAUAUUUCCACACCAAAUAACAAAUAUAUUUCGACACCAAAUAACAAAUAUAUUUCCACACCAAAUAACAUAAUAUUUCAACGCCAAAUAACAUAUUAUUUCUACACCAAAUAACAUAAUAUUUUAUACUAAUAUAUACCAACAUAUAACAUAAUAAAAUAUCACUCUUCAAAAAAAAUUCGACUAAAUUAUAAAAAGACAUCUAAACUCAAUUAAAGUAAAUAAAUAAUAAAAUAGGGCGUUACCGUUGUAGUGAUAUUGAUGAUUGUCGAGAAUGUAGCGUAAAAAAAGGACUAGGUGGUGUAGCGAUGUGUAUGUUCAGAUUUGGAUUUGGAUUUUAGUUGAGAUUAAUUUAGAAUUAGAAGGGUGUCAACCCAUAAUUUCCCAUUUAAUCAUCGAAUUUCGCAUUCUAUUGUUCGUACCACAUAGCAUUUUCCUUUUCAAAUUUUUAAUUGUAGAUUGUUUUCUCUUUUCCAUGUUGUUUUAUUUGUUUUUCACUUCCAAGACAAAAAGUGGGAAGUCUAUAUAAGUGGGCUUCACGUGUUGAGUAAACAUAUUAAUCUUCCUAGCUAAUAUAUAACGUUUAUAAUCACAACAUUUCAGAUCAAUGUAGUAAUAAGUUACUCAUCCAUUUUACAUCGAUUUUCCACCAUUUUACAUCAAUUUUCCACCAUUUUACACAAAUUAAAAUUAAAAUUUAAAUAAUCAGAUUUGUUAAUAUAAAUCCACUUAGUUUUUGGAAUAGGUAUUUUAACAAGUUUAUAACUGCUACUAGUAGAGUGUCCUUUAUAAAUCCAAGUCAUUUGAUUUAAAACUAUUAAAUAAAUGGUAAAAAUUGCACUUCCAUAUGAAUAAAUAAAUUUAAUCAUUUGUGCAUCCUAUAAACUACCAUCAAGUUAUAACUAAAAGAGAAAUAUAUUUUUACAACAUUUUAGUACAACUUUUCUACAACUUUCUUUCUCAUACUUACAUUAUGUUUUUAUUCUCUUUUUUUUUCUUCCUCUCUUCAUUGUUUUUGACCAAUAAAAAUAGAGAACAAUAAAGUUGUCUCAAAGGUGUACCAAAAUGGUUGUUAAAAUAUCACUGCUCUAACUAAAAAGUGAUUAUAUAUAUAUAUAUAUAUAUAUAUAUAUAUAUAUAUAUAUAUAUAUAUAUAUAUAUAUAUAUAUAUUUCAAGGUGUAUGUUGCUAAGCACUCUUAACCAUUAAGUGAAUAUAAAUUUAUGGAUUUUAUAGAUAUUUGUUAGGAUAUACUCACUUAUUUUAUAAGAGUAUGUUAAAUGCAUCCUAAGAUGCUAAAACACUCCUUUAUAAAACAAAGAUGAUGUAUUCUAAUAAAAGAGAGAAUAUAAUAAUACUUAUAGGGAUAAAUAAGUUUUUGACCUCUAAAAUUUUAAAAUUUUUCUUUUAAUACCUGUAAAAAAUUUCAUCAAAUUUUAAUCCCUAAAAUAUUUUUUGCACAAUCCUAGCUUGUUUUUAAGUAAACUCAUGUGAAUCCUUCAAAAUUUUAAAUUGUUUUUUGAAGUCAUGUUUAAUACACUAUAUAAAUAUCUCUUGUAACCAUUUAAAGUCAAACCUUAUUUACAACAAAUGUAAUUUGCUGUAACAUGAUAAGUUUUCAGACUAUGGCGUCAUGUCCAAGACCGACAGAGGAGCAAUUGUUUUGUUGGAAGUUGGAACACAAAAAUUGGGUUGAUACCCUAAGCUUUGUACUCAUUAGAAAUUGGGUUGACACCCUUAAGCUCUAGUAUAGUUAUUUGAUUUAUCUUUUAAUCUUAUGUCCUUCUUAAAAAUGGGAAAUGCCCUUAGAUUGGAGAAUAAAUUUAAAGAAACGAUUCUUUUAGCAUAUGAAUGAAGUUCCUUUUUUUUUUUCUUCAAUUAAAGAGAAGGUAUUUUAAUUUCUUUUCACAUGGUUGUAACAAAAAGGUAAUAGUCAUUUUAAUUUCUGAAUGAGUAAUAAUGUAUCAAAAUUUCAAAAUAAUCAUUGAUUGUCCACUUCGUUAGUCAAAAUAAUUAUUGAUUAUCAUAUUAGUCAUGUUGGAGAUGCCCAAGAUCCAAUCAAUUAUGUAACCAAUUUUAGAAUUAAUAAAUAUUCAUUAUCUUGUUUACUGUUUAGUGAAAUAGUUAAUUUGAUAAUGUCCUUGAUUAAAACUAUAGACUUGUUAUCAUGAUAGAGAUUAUGAUAAUGAGAAACAAGUCUUUUAUUAUUUUUAAUCUAAAUUGUUCUUGAUCGUAUGGUUGUUGUGAAUAGGACAUCAAUAAUCUGGAUAGAUCAAUAUAUAUGUGAUAGUCUUUAUUGGAUAAAGAUUAAUAUAUCUCAUUUAUUAAAUUACAUAUAUAGAUGAUGCAUAUAGUGAUAUGAUCAUUGAACUGACUCAACUGAGAAUUUCUAAUGGUCGAUAUUACCACAAAAAUGUCAAUAGAAAAGUUCUCAAGAAAGAAUAUAAUAAUUUUCUUUGACCUGAGAUUGUCAUAGUAAUUAACAUGUUAUUUAUUGUAUUUUGAUUCUGAACACCUAAUACCUUAGGGUGCUAGUUGAAAGGAUAUUGGAUACAAUUAAAUGCUUGUAUAAUUAAUGACUAAUCAAGAUGGGAUCCGUCAACUCUUGAUAAUGAGUUUGAACUCUAUGAUAAAAUCAAAACCCUGGCCAGGGAAACUAAAUGAAAGAAGAAAUGAGUUUCUUAAGUCAUAUAUGUUAACUUAUUAGAGUUUGACAAUUGUACCAUGCUCUAGAGUUAACCAGAGUUCUAACGACGGAAGAAAAAUAUUAUGUCAUUCUAUUUGGUUCUUGAAAGUAAAAUAAUAUUUCAUACUACCUGGACGUUAAGGAGUGUUACUAGACGCCUACCUUGAUUAAUAUAUUAAUUUGAUUAAUCUAUUACCAGUUUAGUAUUGAACCUACAGGGUCACACACAAACGAGUGUUCUAAUUCUUACUAAAGAAUAACUUUAUUAUUUGAUGAUUAAAUUGAAGAAUUUAAUUAAUCAAAAUAUAAAUUUUCUAAGUGGAAUAUUAUUGUAUUUUUUGCUAGUACAAAGAAUACAAAUAAUACAUAAAUAAAUUGAGCAUGUUAUUUAUUGAAAAAUAAAUAAAUAAGAAAUGUUGUACGUUGCAUUAUCUUUACUAAUUAUAUAUAUAAUCUAUAUAUAGGAAUGAUCAAUGGUUGAUCAUUUAGAAAGAAAAGGAAAUUGUACAACAUUAUAUAUAUACAAUUAUAUAUAGUUAUGUGGAAUCAUAUUGGUCAAUGAUCACCUUAGUUGAAAAAUUAUUUUUCAAAUAAAUUAGCAUUAACAUGUGUUAAUUGUUUUUAUUGAUUGACCAUAUGAAAUAAAAGGUCAUUAAGAUGAGUCAACACAUUUUAUUUGAUAGUAGUGUGUGUGACCUAUAAAUAGACCUUAAGUGAUUUGAUCAAAACCCACAACACAACAACAAGAAAUAUGCUCUAGUUUUCUAGUUCCACUACUCAAAGGUUGAGAGUAAAAAUUGGUCUCGGUGUGGAUACACGUAGAGUCUUCAUAUCAUUGAAGAAUUUUCAUGCUUCAAGAAUUGAUACAAAGGUACACUUUUAGUAUCUAAUUUCGUAAAUUUUAUAAUUUAUGCGCAAAAUAGAUCCAAACUUUAUUCCGUUGCAUGUGUUAUGAACACCUUUUUUACUUCAAUUGGUAUCAGAGCUUUGGAUCUUUUGUGUUUAAAUUAUAAUUUCAGAAGUAUGACAAAGCUGAAUUUUUUAUUUUGUUUGAAGUAAUCAUCGUUACGGCAAUAUGUUGAUAUUUUAAAAUUACAAAUUUGUGAUGUAACGGCGAUUGCUAGCUUGCUAUCUAUUAAAAUACAUGAGAUGUAUAUUUAUUUAUUUAUUUUCGGAAUGUUCCAGUACAUGUGCAUAUUCAAUUUCGUAAAUUUUCUAUAUCAUAUAUGAUGAUAAAUAAACUAAACUAAUUGCAUAUGUUAUAUGAAUUUCGACUUCCUUAUGCUUUCCUCAAUGUAUGUUUUUCUUCAUUGAUAUACAUAUAUACAUGCUGUGUUAUAUAUAUAUAUAUAUGUAUAUAUAAUAAUAAUAAUAAUAAUAUUGAUAUUAGUAUAUAGGGUAUUAAUUUAGUAUAAGAUACAAUUUUAUUAUAUAAUUAAUUGUUGAUAAUAAGAAUUGGCCUGACUACCAGGAAACUUAUAAUUAAUAAUUAAUUAUAAUAAAUGAUAAAAAUGUUUUAUUAUAUAUAAUUAGUAGUAAAAUUCAAGAGUUGAUCUGACUACCAGAAAAUUUGUAUUUAACGACUAAUUAUAGCAUAUGAUGCAUAUUUAAAAUUAAUUAUAUACUUAACGUCUGGACUACCCGGAGAAGUGAUAGAAUUAAUUCAUAAUAAAUAUAUACACUAAUUAUGUGGUAUGAUAUUUAUUUUUGUAUAUGAUACAUCAUGACUUAAAACUUAUAUAUGAGAAACGACUUGACAACCAAGUGUUUUAUAUAUUACUUUUAAGUAAUCUCCCAUUUUUAUUUUUUUUUUAAUGUUCUGACAUCAUAAACAUUUUAUAUGAUAAAAAAAAAAAAAAAAAAGGUAUGUCUUCUCUUUCGCUCCGUGGAAUACUUGAAUCUAGAAAAUUGGUUGGACCCAAUUAUGAUGAUUGGUACCGUAACACGAGAAUUGUUCUCAUGCACGAAAAACUAAUCGACGUCAUUGAUAAGCCAGUUGUGACUGCACCGGUUGAUCCAAUCGAUGUUGAAUCAACCAAGACUUAUGAGAAGUACUUGGAGCAACGUCUCACUACUAAGUGCUAUGGAAUCUAAAAUGGAAUCGAUGAAGAUCAACAAAGUUUGGACUUUGGUUGAGGCUUCAAUGGAUAUUAAAUCUAUUGUUGUAAAUGAGUUUACAAGAAAAAGAUUUAUAGAGAUAGAUCUAAAAGGUUGUGUGGACUCUCUCAGUCUAUGUACAUUGAUACCAUCUUAAGGAGGUAUAACAUGGAAAAUUCCAAACGAGGGUAUUUACCCCUAGGAAUUAGAAUUACUCUUAGUAGGGAGGAUUGUCCGAAAACUCCCAAAGAGAGAGAACGCAUGAGUAGAGUACCAUAUGCUAGCGCAGUGGGAGCUAUCAUGUACACCAGGACUUGUACACGUCCUGAUGUCGCUUAUGCACUUGGUGUAACUAGUCGAUAUCAAGUAAACCAAGAUGAGAAACAUUGAAAAAUGGUUAAGACCGUCCUUAAGUACUUAAGAUGAUCUAAAGACCAAUUCUUCAUUUAUGAAGAAUAGAAUUAACAUACACGACUGAUUGGCUCUAGUGCAAGUGGGAGAUUGUUGGAGAUGCCCAAGAUCCAAUCAAUUAUGUAACCAAUUUUAGAAUUAAUAAAUAUUCAUUAUCUUGUUUACUGUUUAGUGAAAUAGUUAAUUUGAUAAUGUCCUUGAUUAAAACUAUAGACUUGUUAUCAUGAUAGAGAUUAUGAUAAUGAGAAACAAGUCUUUUAUUAUUUUUAAUCUAAAUUGUUCUUGAUCGUAUGGUUGUUGUGAAUAGGACAUCAAUAAUCUGGAUAGAUCAAUAUAUAUGUGAUAGUCUUUAUUGGAUAAAGAUUAAUAUAUCUCAUUUAUUAAAUUACAUAUAUAGAUGAUGCAUAUAGUGAUAUGAUCAUUGAACUGACUCAACUGAGAAUUUCUAAUGGUCGAUAUUACCACAAAAAUGUCAAUAGAAAAGUUCUCAAGAAAGAAUAUAAUAAUUUUCUUUGACCUGAGAUUGUCAUAGUAAUUAACAUGUUAUUUAUUGUAUUUUGAUUCUGAACACCUAAUACCUUAGGGUGCUAGUUGAAAGGAUAUUGGAUACAAUUAAAUGCUUGUAUAAUUAAUGACUAAUCAAGAUGGGAUCCGUCAACUCUUGGUAAUGAGUUUGAACUCUAUGAUAAAAUCAAAACCCUGGCCAGGGAAACUAAAUGAAAGAAGAAAUGAGUUUCUUAAGUCAUAUAUGUUAACUUAUUAGAGUUUGACAAUUGUACCAUGCUCUAGAGUUAACCAGAGUUCUAACGACGGAAGAAAAAUAUUAUGUCAUUCUAUUUAGUUCUUGAAAGUAAAAUAAUAUUUCAUACUACCUGGACGUUAAGGAGUGUUACUAGACGCCUACCUUGAUUAAUAUAUUAAUUUGAUUAAUCUAUUACCAGUUUAGUAUUGAACCUACAGGGUCACACACAAACGAGUGUUCUAAUUCUUACUAAAGAAUAACUUUAUUAUUUGAUGAUUAAAUUGAAGAAUUUAAUUAAUCAAAAUAUAAAUUUUCUAAGUGGAAUAUUAUUGUAUUUUUUGCUAGUACAAAGAAUACAAAUAAUACAUAAAUAAAUUGAGCAUGUUAUUUAUUGAAAAAUAAAUAAAUAAGAAAUGUUGUACGUUGCAUUAUCUUUACUAAUUAUAUAUAUAAUCUAUAUAUAGGAAUGAUCAAUGGUUGAUCAUUUAGAAAGAAAAGGAAAUUGUACAACAUUAUAUAUAUACAAUUAUAUAUAGUUAUGUGGAAUCAUAUUGGUCAAUGAUCACCUUAGUUGAAAAAUUAUUUUUCAAAUAAAUUAGCAUUAACAUGUGUUAAUUGUUUUUAUUGAUUGACCAUAUGAAAUAAAAGGUCAUUAAGAUGAGUCAACACAUUUUAUUUGAUAGUAGUGUGUGUGACCUAUAAAUAGACCUUAAGUGAUUUGAUCAAAACACACAACACAACAACAAGAAAUAUGCUCUAGUUUUCUAGUUCCACUACUCAAAGGUUGAGAGUAAAAAUUGGUCUCGGUGUGGAUACACGUAGAGUCUUCAUAUCAUUGAAGAAUUUUCAUGCUUCAAGAAUUGAUACAAAGGUACACUUUUAGUAUCUAAUUUCGUAAAUUUUAUAAUUUAUGCGCAAAAUAGAUCCAAACUUUAUUCCGUUGCAUGUGUUAUGAACACCUUUUUUACUUCAAGUCAUUCAAUAUAUUUAAUUAUUAUCAUUUUAAUCCUAAUUUGAAAAGAGUUACUACUAGUAUUAAAAAAUUAUUUUAGCUUAAAGACAAUACUCCCUCCGUCCCUUAAUAAAUAACCCAGUUGACAAUAUACAUUAUUGACUUGACAUACUUUGACCAUAUUUUUAUACUAAUUUACAAAGAUAAAUAAUAUCAAGUAAGAUGUUGUUGGAUUCUUCUCGAUGAGUAUUUUUAAAAUAUUAAAUUUUUAUAAUUUUUUUUAGUAGAGAAUUGAAGAUAUCAAAGAUAAAACAUAUGUAUUGGUAUGUGUGUCAGAGUCAACUAGGUCAUUUAUCGAGGGACGGAGGGACUAUUAACUAGCAGAGUGUAUAUAAAGGGAUUUUAAGAGGGGUUUUUCAAAAUUUUAAUCCUCUUUGCGGAAGAAAUCCCAUUGAAACGGAUCUUGAUUAAAUCAUUAAUCACAAAUCAAACAGAAACUUAAACACUUUUAAGAUUCAUGUGUUUACCUCUUGAAGAGCAGAACCUUUGUAGCAGAAAUCUUUCUGAUCACGAGCAAAGCAAAGCAGCGAUGCCUCUACUCAGUCCACACGAACAGAACUUCUCCGAUGACCGGUGCUAGUCAAUUCCAACGAAGAUUCAGAGAGAACAAGGUUUAGAGAGCGGCGGCUAGGGUUUCACAACUUUUGUGAAUUAGGUUAAGCACUCACAAAAAGUUAGUAAUGCUUCAACACAAGGGUUCUAUUUAUAGAAUCACUUGUGUGGACAACAAGACAACACUUAAAUACACUGUACCUUACGGUGAACCGCGUUUCUCUAUUUUUUGGUAAAUUAAAUAAUAAAAUCAUAUUUAAUUAUUUAAUUAAUAAUAAGUCUCACUUAUUAUUUUAUAAAUAAGUCUCACUUAUUAUUUUAUAAAUAAGUCUUACUUAUUUAUUUCUCUCAUCUAUCUGUCCUUUGUGUGUGACCCUAUAGGUUCCCGUAACGUUGGCAAUAAUAUUAAAUCACAUAUUUAAUAUUAUAAACAGUGAGCGGUAUCUAGCAACACAUCACUGCUACCCAAGUGACGAGAAUGUCAUGUGAUCUGACGAAACCUUUCUGUGAUAAUGAUCAUGUGUAUAAUUACCCUUUUGCCCUCAUGUCUAUAUUGAACACAAGGCAUAGACCGUGUCAUCCUUGUCUAGUUCAAUAUUGGGCCCGUAGACAUUUCUCCUGUUAUGUAGGAGGAGCAAAUUCCAUCUAGGUCACUCAUGUCCCUCAGCAUGAUUCAUGGAGUACCCAUCAACCAACUUUAUAGUCAUCCUGUUACGGACAACGUUUGAAUGGUGACAAAGCACUCGACUCCAACAUCUACGGUACAUAGUGGUUUCAGGUCGAAGGGUGGAAUACACCACUAUCACUAUGAGAAUAUCUUAUGACAGUUUUCAUAACUUUUACUAUGUAGUAUUCUCAUGGCGGAUCAAUCCAAUAUAAAUAUUACUCCUAAUAUUUAUAUCUAUGUGAAGACUUGAUAACUCUUUAUCCAUGAUCUGUGAGAUGUGAUCAUCAGUCUACCUACAUAAUAGUCUCUAUGCUUUAAUGAUAUCCCACUUCUCAACAAAGCUUGACUACGGAUACUUUGAGAAUAGUUUCCUUAUGUUUAAUGGGGUCUCACAAUUAAGUUAUACUUAAUGUUCCAUUAAACGGACUAACUAUUCUAGGGACUUUAUUAUUUUGAAACAAAACAAAAUCAAUAAAGAAAUGCCUUGUUAUUAUAUAUUCACAAUAUAUAUUUAUAUCAAUAUCAUGAACAAAGUCAAACCCAAUCAAUAUAGGUUGGCUAUUAGGGCUUAUUCCAACAAUCUCCCACUAGCACUAAAAGCCAAUCAAAUAUUAACUCAAUAUCUAUUGGUCAAGUGUUAGCAUCAAGCACACUCUUGACUAGAUACUAUACUAGCAGAUAAGGAACUCUUUCCUAUGUUGGUAGGUUAUACUUCUUUCAAUUUCCACUAUCGAUCUUCUAUCGAAAAGAAAUUGAAGUGUCAAAGUAUACAUUUGGAUCAUUGGUGAGAUCAAGUUUUCAUUGCUCACAAGAUUUAAACCAAUUUUACCUCAUACGAGAUCAAUGGAAUCUGCAACGCAAGAAACACAUGUUUUCACUGAGUUAUGAGCUAAACAAUCCAAAUCAUAUAUAUUUGACAUCUGUAAUAGAAACAAGAACUAUUUGAAGCUUGUACUUUUACAAAUUUCAUAGUUGAUAUCCUAGCAUAAUAUUUAUUCCAAAUUACGAUCUGGAUAUACUGUACACUGAUAUGAAAGUCAACAUCAUCGUAACUCAUUUACAAUGUUUCUUUCAUCUGUGUUCAAGAAACAAUCUAUAGUCCUUUAAGACAUCCAAGGAUAUUCUUGAAGGUAUUAUAGUGUCGAACACUAUAAUCAAUUUUGGUACAUAUUGAAAAUAAUUUUCUAACCAUGUCUUGCAUGUGUAGAUAAAUUAUUUUGGUGACUAGUAUGUCAUCUACAUACUCCACCAAACUAAUUUCAAUGCUCCCACUAAUCUCCUUAUGUGCACAAGAUUUCUUUAUUAAUCAAAAUUUUCAUAAAACUUUGUUAAUAAAAUAAACAAUUUAACUUCGAGAAGAUUUCUCUAAUAAAUAAAUUUUGUAAUACAUUUACCUUUCUAGUAUCCUUUGGAUUAACGAAACCCUACAUAUAUGUCAAAUACAUAUAUAAGGUCAUUCUAAUUAAAGAAUGCAACAUCGUUAUCCAUCUCCUAGAAUUCGUAUUAUACAACAAUGACAAAUUGGGAUCGUUAGAUUUAAGUAUUACGAUGAUGUAAUAGUUUCGUCAUGAUUUGCAUCAUGAGUUGCAUGAAACUUUCUACAAUCAAUCACAUCUUAAAGGUAUUCAUAAUACCAUCCAUGAUUCAUACUCAUUUGGAUGAUAUAACCAAUAUCCAUAUAUGGUUUGUGUGCAUGGAUUCUUUAUAAGAUCCCAUGGCAACUAGCCACUUCUCAAAAAUCAGGUCAUUUGCGACCUUCUAGUAAGUCAGGUGCUCAUCUUCCAUGAGCAUCAUAUCACUUUGUUGAGUCAUGACAAAAUCAUGUUUCUCAUCCUAGUGUUAUGACAUAUCAGACUCAUCUAUAUCAUGUGCUACUAGAACUACCGAUUUACCAACAACCCUUUGUUGAAUCAGUUCAUGUUCCAUUGAGAAACAUGUAUUUUGUGGUACUUGACUUAAUUCAAGUUCUACAUCACUCCCACUAGCUCUUGCAAAGUUAUACUCCUUCUUGAAAAGGAAUACUCCAGUACUAGCGACAAACAACUUUUGUCAAGGAAGAAGAUGUAGAAAUAGUAUCCUUUAGUUUCCUAAGGGAACCUCCACAAGUAUACAUUCAUUUAAUUUGAAGUUUAGUUUAUCUAGUAAACAAUAUAACCUCAAAUUAUCAUAAAGUCAAAAAUAGGUACUCUAACCUGCAUAUCUAAUAUGGUGCAUUUAUGAUUACUCAAUUAGAACUUGUUGUGGGUGAAGAAUAAAUGUAAUUUAAUUAAUUUCAAGAGUCUUUGAGUUAUAAUCAAACUAUUUUAGAUCGAGUCAUGUCAAAAAUGAAACGAUAUAAAUAAUCAUUAUUUGUACUCAUUUAUCAAGCAUUUACCAUCACGACUUACUCGUAUAGUAUUUAUACUUUUCAAACUUAUUCCUUUUACUUCAUUGUUGAAAUCUUUGAACAAUUUCAAAGUUUUUCAUGAAUCGUGUCAAAUACACUUUUCUUAUCUACUAAAUGAUUUAGUAAUGUCAGAUGAAGUAAUAGAAACAAUAUCUAACAAAUAUGUUUAGUUUUCCGUAUACAUCUCAUAUGUAUAUAAACUCAAAUAAAUUACGUGUCCUUUCACCUUUGUUGGUGACCGGUAUACUAAUCUAUUUUGAAAGGUGGGACUCAUAUCCUUCAAAUGAUAUAAAAUCAAAUGAGUCCAAUAGUCAUGGAUUUUGGAAAUGUGAAUCACACUUGUUUGUACUAAACACUAAUGCCAAUGAUAUAUAAAAGGUUCUAAUCUCAUUUGAUCCUUUUCUCAUAAGUUAUAGACCAGCUUAUCAAGAUCAUGAAACUCAAAUCCAUUACUUGAUUAGCAUACUUAUAUAGAAAACAUAAUUUUCAUAAUAGGACAACGUUUGUCUAUUAUUCAACUACACAAUCAUUCUCUUCUCAAUACAAGAUUUAUGAUUUAAUGCUUCUAUUUUAUAUGGAAUUUAAUAACAAUUAUUUGGUUCCAUAUCAAGUUAAGUUUAAGUCCAAGCAUUUGCUCCUAUGUCAAUGAAACAAUUUGUCUCAUUCUAGACGUAAGUGGACUUCGCUUAUAGUUAAUGUCCCGCUUCUUUAAAACUCUCUAUAUUUCAACAAAUAUGAGAUUAACCAUCAAGUAUCAUAUACUUAUGAUGCAAAAGUAGAAAUUUAACUUUCUAUAACUAUAUGGGCAAAUAAGAAGUCUUACUUCUAUUUUGACUCUUUCAUAACAUUAACAGUUUUUCUCAUUCUUAAGAACAAUUCUUAAUACCAAUUAAGAAACUCUUUCUUGAAGAUUUUGUUCUUCAUAAGAACAUUUAACAGUAUAAUAAAAUGUAUGUGCCAAAGAAAUUCUAAAUACAAAAAAUAAAUAAAAAUAUAUCAUGAUAUAAAAACAUAAUUAAUUAGGUCUUUAAUUAAAUAUGCUCCCACUAUUUUACUGAAAACAAAUGACCUUCAACAUUUGAAUCGGAAAAUCUCAUUGGAAGAUUUUCUAGUGGAUUGAAAUCCAUAUUUCACCUUGCUUUAAGUCAACGGGGGCUGUACUCAAACUCAGUUAUUUAGGUAGGAACUCCUUCCAAUUGUAUCUCAUACAACUUUCAAAUCAUUUGAGUGAAUAACUCUUUACUCUAAUCUAUCAUAUAGAUGUUCCCAAACAUUGCUUCUAAAUUUAUUUUAAUCAUAUUAAAAUAAUUUAGUUAAGUUGGACCCAAAGAAUAACAGUCGGGUAAAUGGAAUUACCGCACCGCAACUUACUAGUAUAGAAAGUGCACCUCGCGGAGGCGAAACCUACACAUUUCGAUAUUAGUCUUGAAGGGUGUCAUCCUUUGGAAAGCAAUUAACUUAAUAUUCUUUUGAAGUAAAUAUAUAUAUUUUAAUCUUAUUAAAAUAAUAUAGUUAAGUUAGAUCCAAAAUAACAGUCGGUAAAUAGAAUUACCGCACCACAACUUACUAGUAUAGAAAGUGCACCUCGCAGAGGCGAAACCUACACAUUUCGAUAUUAGUCUUGAAGUGUGUUAUACUUUGGAAAAUAAUUUACUUCAUAUUCUAUUUGAAAGAUUUUAAUUAAGUUGAUCUCACUGACAUGUGUAUCUUAUACACACAUCUAAUAUUAUACAUGACAUUCAUGUUCAUAGAUAGCAAGUAUAUAUAAAAUAUUUAAAAUAUACAUGCACUAAUCUAAACACACAUUUCAUGCAUCACAUACAUAAAAUAAUAAACUAGGUAGUAUGGUUAUGACCUCCUAACGCGUAAGAAUUAAAUAAACUACUUUAUUACAAUUCUUUGACCCACGAGCAAGCUUCAAAAGUUUCUCCAUCGAAAUCAUCUUUUGGCGUUGUCUUUUCUUCAACUUGAGCAUUUACAUUAUUUAACAUUUAAAUAAAUAAAAGCAAAUCACGACACACAGGUCGUAUUUAAAUAAAUCACGACAUGCAGGCCGUAUUUAAAUAAAAUAAACCAUGACACGCAGGUCAUAUUUAAAUACAUAAACAUACGCCAAAAACUAAGGUCAUAACCAUAUACCAUAAAAUAAAUAAUAAUAACUAUUUAUAAUUAUUUAAACAAUUUUAGAAUUAGUCAAAAUUUGGAAAUAAUAUUUUGACCGAGAUAUACGUCAUAUAAAAUUGAUUCAUAUAUAUGUAUAUAUAUUCCUUUUGAAACUAUUUUCAAAAUCAAUCGGGUCAUAAAUAACAUUAAAUUAUGCAAAUAUUAUGAUCAAAUCCAAAAUAUCAUAUAUGAUAUUGAAACUUUUUCAAAAUCAUGAUCCUUUUAAAUUAGAAACAAAUUAGGAUCAUUUAUUACCUUUUCAAACUACUUUUGAAAGACAAUCCAAAAGGUAGAAUUUUUUAUUCACUUAAUUAUAGUAAUAUUGACACUCAACAAUUAUUAUAAUUAAAUAUGCUUUAUUUAGACGACCAAUUUGUUUCCAAAACAAAUUACAGUGCUAAAAUUAAGCAAAUAAUUUAUUACCAAAUUCAAAAAGUCACAUCUGAUGUUGAAACUCUUUCAAAAUCAUGAUCUUUUAAAUUUACUACCUUUCUCCAAUUAAAUAAAUAAAUUAAACAUAAAUAGUUUCAAGGAUUGUUUGUUUAGCAUGAACAACCGGAUCUUUGAUGCUUCACCAGAUUCGGAUAUCGAAGCUCAAUCUCACGAAUUGUUCAAAGUCACAACAGUCUUCUUGAAAACAAUUGAUCAACCAUAAUAAUACAACUCUUGUAUAGUUAGGUACCCUAAUACGACAAUCAAACAUUAAUAGUUUUAACAAUUGUUUGUUCAGUAUGGACAACCGGAUCUUUGAUGCUUCACCAGAAUCAGAUAUUCGGAUAUCGAAACUCAAUCUCACGAGUUGUCUACAAAUUCACAAUCAAUUUCAUAAAACAUAUUGAACGAAUGACAUCAUCAAUAUAUCACAUAUACUGAUGUCGUAUCAGAAUCAUAUAUCACAUAUAUGAUCUUGAUCAAUCAAUUUUAAUUAAUUCUUAUUAUUUAAAAUAAUGAGAAUAUUAACACUUAAAUUAUUCUCAUUAUUAACAAGCAUAUAUGAAAACAAUUUCCAUGGCUGCUAGUUAACACAGUGACACUCACGUAAAAUUUCAAAUUGAAAAUCUUAUUCAUUUAUCAAAAUCGAAACUGAAACAAUUUCAAUUUCUCCAGAUUAUUGAAACCGUAAUAAUUGGAAUUUCUCUUUCAUUGAUAUAUUAAAAUAAUAUGCAUCAGAAUUGAAUCGUAUUCAUAGACAGUAAGGCAUAUUAUCAAAAUAGUACAUAAAAUUCAAAUAGACACAUACGAUCAUUGAUAUAUCAUCAUAUAAACGUUAAUAUGCAUCGAACAGAUUCGAAUAUAAUGAUUUAAUGAAAACCAGAUGCUCUGAUACCACUGGAAGGGAUUUUAAGAGGGGUUUUUCAAAAUUUUAAUCCUCUUUGCGGAAGAAAUCCCAUUGAAACGGAUCUUGAUUAAAUCAUUAAUCACAAAUCAAACAGAAACUUAAACACUUUAAGAUUCAUGUGUUUACCUCUUGAAGAGCAGAACCUUUGUAGCAGAAAUUUUUCUGAUCACGAGCAAAACAAAGCAGCGAUGCCUCUACUCAGUCCACACGAACAGAACUUCUCCGAUGACCGGUGCUAGCCAAUUCCAACGAAGAUUCAGAGAGAACAAGGUUUAGAGAGCGGCGGCUAGGGUUUCACAACUUUUGUGAAUUAGGUUAAGCACUCACAAAAAGUUAGUAAUGCUUCAACACAAGGGUUCUAUUUAUAGAAUCACUUGUGUGGACAACAAGACAACACUUAAAUACACCGUACCUUACGGUGAACCGCGUUUCUCUAUUUUUGGUAAAUUAAAUAAUAAAAUAAUAUUUAAUUAUUUAAUUAAUAAUAAGUCUCACUUAUUAUUUUAUAAAUAAGUCUCAUUAUUAUUUUAUAAAUAAGUCUUACUUAUUUAUUUCUCUCAUCUAUCUGUCCUUUGUGUGUGACCCUAUAGGUUCCCGUAACGUUGGCAAUAAUAUUAAAUCACAUAUUUAAUAUUAUAAACAGUGAGCGGUAUCUAGCAACACAUCACUGCUACCCAAGUGACGAGAAUGUCAUGUGAUCUGACGAAACCUUUCUGUGAUAAUGAUCAUGUGUAUAAUUACCCUUUUGCCCUCAUGUCUAUAUUGAACACAAGGCAUAGACCGUGUCAUCCUUGUCUAGUUCAAUAUUGGGCCCGUAGACAUUUCUCCUGUUAUGUAGGAGGGGCAAAUUCCAUCUAGGUCACUCAGUCCCUCAGCAUGAUUCAUGGAGUACCCAUCAACCAACUUUAUAGUCAUCCUGUUACGGACAACGUUUGAAUGGUGACAAAGCACUCGACUCCAACAUCUAGGGUACAUAGUGGUUUCAGGUCGAAGGGUGGAAUACACCACUAUCACUAUGAGAAUAUCUUAUGACACUUUUCAUAACUUUUAUUAUGUAGUAUUCUCAUGGCGGAUCAAUCCAAUAUAAAUAUUACUCCUAAUAUUUAUAUCUAUGUGAAGACUUGAUAACUCUUUAUCCAUGAUCUGUGAGAUGUGAUCAUCAGUCUACCUACAUAAUAGUCUCUAUGCUUUAAUGAUAUCUCACUUCUCAACAAAGCUUGACUACGGAUACUUUGAGAAUAGUUUCCUUAUGUUUAAUGGGGUCUCACAAUUAAGUUAUACUUAAUGUUCCAUUUAACGGACUAACUAUUCUAGGGACUUUAUUAUUUUGAAACAAAACAAAAUCAAUAAAGAAAUGUCUUAUUAUUAUAUAUUCACAAUAUAUAUUUAUAUCAAUAUCAUGAACAAAGUCAAACCCAAUCAAUAUAGAUUGGCUAUUAGGGCUUAUUCCAACAGUAUACAGUCAUACACUAUUACACAAAAAUAAAAUUAUUUCCCUUCAGAUGCUAAUGACUCGUGCCACUUUUCACAUGAGUUUCUUCGAGUCAAUACUCAAUACUACUAUAGUACUAUUCCUUCAUUCACGUGCUACUCUUCUCGUGUCUAACGUUACUGUUACAAUAGCAUGUGCUACUCUUCGAAUAUCAAAAAGCCUCUUCUUGAGUCUUUGAUUAUUACUGCCACUUAUCACUACUAUCCCUCAAACUUCAUAGCUCCUUAAUUUCCUUCAACAAUCCUUCUUUGCUGCUUUGCUUUAACAAAUCAACACAAGAUGGCUGCAACUAUGAUUGGAGGUGCUUUCCUCUCUGCAACUGUUCAGACCUUAGUUGAGAAACUUGCUUCAACUGAGUUUCUUGAUUACAUCAAAAACACUAAGCUCAAUGUCUCACUCUUGAGGCAGCUUAAAACAACACUGCUCACUCUUCAAGUUGUGCUGGAUGAUGCAGAGGAGAAGCAGAUCAAUAAUCCUGCUGUCAAACUAUGGCUUGAUGACUUGAAAGAUGCUAUCAUUGAUGCUGAGGACUUGCUCAAUGAAAUCAGUUACGAUUCCCUGCGAUGCAAGGUGGAGAAUACACAAGCUCAAAACAAAACUAAUCAGGUGUGGAACUUCCUUUCUUCUCCUUUUAAUAGCUUCUAUAGAGAGAUCAAUUCCCAGAUGAAGAUCAUGUGUGAAAACCUGCAAUUGUUUGCAAAUCAUAAAGAUGUCCUUGGUUUGCAAACUAAGAGUGCUAGAGUUUCUCAUGGAACUCCUUCAAGUUCUGUGUUUAACGAAUCUGUCAUGGUGGGUAGGAAGGAUGACAAAGAGACAAUAAUGAACAUGUUGCUAUCACAGAGAAACACAAUCCAUAAUAAUAUAGGUGUUGUUGCAAUUUUGGGCAUGGGAGGUUUAGGAAAAACUACCCUUGCCCAACUUGUUUACAAUGAUAAAGAAGUUCAACAACAUUUUGACAUGAAGGCGUGGGUUUGUGUGUCUGAGGAUUUUGAUAUUAUGAGAGUAACAAAGUCUCUCCUUGAAUCUGUCACUUCCACAACUUCGGAAAGCAAUAAUCUUGAUGUCCUUCGUGUUGAGUUAAAGAAAAUCUCAAGGGAGAAAAGAUUUUUGUUUGUGUUGGAUGAUCUGUGGAAUGACAAUUGUAAUGAUUGGGAUGAGCUAGUAAGUCCCUUCAUUAAUGGAAAACCUGGAAGCAUGGUGAUUAUAACAACGCGCCAACAAAAAGUUACAAAGAUGGCACACAUGUUUGCUGUACAUAAUUUAGAACCUCUAUCAAAUGAAGAUUGUUGGUCUUUACUCUCAAACUAUGCAUUGGGAAGUGAUGAGUUUCACCAUAGUACAAAUACAGCCCUUGAAGAAAUUGGCAGGAAGAUUGCAAGAAGGUGUGGGGGAUUGCCAAUAGCUGCUAAAACACUAGG
rnacentral:lncRNA from 1 species